rnacentral:lncRNA from 1 species
UGGGUAGGUCCUCAGGCUUGAGCAACCACACAAAUCAAGCUUCCUCAACUUCAAAUUGAAAAUGGUGCUUGGAAAAGUUUGAAGUGAAUUACAGUGGGUAAGGUCUAACUUGCAUAGUCCGGUGAGGCUUCCAAUGGAAGAUGGAAUAAUCUCAAGAUUCAAGCAACGGUGCAAACUCAGUUCUUCAAGCCCUACCAAACGUGUCCAAGAUGAAGGUAGUGCCUGUAUGGCUGUGUCGUCUAAGAUGAGCACCGUUAAAUCUUCCAACGUGUCCUGAAUCUCGGGUAAAUUUUCCAAUUUUGAGCAACCCCGGAGAGAAAGUUGCUUUAGGAAUUUCAUAUCAGAAAGAUGAAAUGGAAAGAUUGUAAGAGAAGAACAGUGAGAGAGAUCUAAGCGAUAGAACUGCUUGCGACUAAAGGUUAAGGACACACCUUCCUUGAGUUUUGUGAACACUUUUAAGUGUAUGGUAUUAUUAGCCACUUCUUCUUCCUUAUAUCUGUCAAAAGUAAUUGAGAAAAUUUGACUGGAAGUUGGGAAAAGACCAUGGCGUCGACGUUUACGACGCCGUCGUGAGAAAUUGAUCUCUUUCAUCAUAUCCGGUUCCAGACGAGGGAAUCUUGAGAAAGUUUGACGUUGACGCUCGAGUAUGACAUGAGGGAAUCUGGGUUCACUGGUUGAAAACAUAUUAAGCUUCGGACAACGGGAAAUAUUAAUCCAUCCUGGUGAUGUGGAUAAAAUGUUGCUGGGAAUAUUUACACUUUCGAGAUUAGAACAAUUAUCUAAACAUAAAUAACUGAGCUUGGUGAGGAAUAUCGAGGAGUGAACUUCAAUCAACUUUUCACAAGAACUCAGAAUUAUUUCUUCAAUAUUUGGUGACAUAGAAAGGUCUGGUAUUCUAGUAAGUUUCAGAGAACCAGUCAGGUCGACCCUUUUCAACUUGGGUAAAUUCUGCCACAAAUACUAAAUGAAUGAGGUAACAAAUAAAAACUACUUUAUCUAUUUUUCUUCGGUAAACUAAUUUAUUUUUCAGAAAUGAUGAAAAUUAUAACUAAACUAUAUAAAAUUCCAUUUUAUUCUACUCAUCCUUAAUUUUUUUGUGAAAUCUUGAUUUUGGGAUAAUAUCACUUAAACUUAAGAAAUAUUUGGCAUUAAUGAACUCUAAACAAAUUCAUAUAAGAUAUACAUCACUUUCAAUCCAAAAUCUUAAACUAAUAGGUUUAUGAAUUUUCUUUAUAUGUUGUUUUAAAAAGUUGAGACUAAAUUGAACUUUUGAAAAUUGGGAGGAUGAAAUUAUAUUUUGUCUAUUAAUAUAGGGAUUAAAAAAAUAAUUGAAUCAAAUAUUACUAUUUUUGUGAUGUAUAUUUAUAUAUAAAUAAUUUUGAGAAUUUAGAGUUAUAUCAUAUAUAUAUAUAUAUAUAAAAUUCUUUUUGGUAAUGUAUCCUGUAAUUGUAAGCAAGUAUGAUUAUAUUAAGUGGGUGCGUUUCAAAUAGAGGAGACUACGCACAUACAAAUAUCUCUUAUAAAGUAAGAAAACAAACAAACCGUUACUCAAGAAGAUCAUGUAAUGCAUGACAGACAACAUGGGGAGAUAUCUAUCAUCAAUAAUAAAACGAUGUUUUCUGAGAGUUAAAAUUAAACCUUAUUUAAAAUAAGUCCAUCUUUCCAUAUUUUAUAAUUUGUUGUAUAUUAUAUUGAAGUUUAUGUUAUAAUAAAAAAAAUGACUUAAUUAAUCAAAUAAUGUGGAGAAGGCACAAAGGAAUUGCAAAUGAAAACCAGUAGAUGUAUAAUACAGAAAACAUGCUUGUAUAACUUAUUUUUGUCUUUGAAAGUUUAGAACACAAAGAAACAUAGAUAGCUUGAAAAACCUGAUCUCCUUCCCAAAGUUGUUCAAGAUUGCAGCCUGGCAUUUUGAGGGUCACUAGACUUUGUGGGCAAAAGUUUGGAGGCCAAAAUCUUUGAAGGAAAUUGUCCCAAUAAAGAAUCUUUAAAGUGUCCGGCAGAUCUACAAGAGAUGAUUCAAGAGACUCAUAAGAUUGUCCAUCUUUUCGAAACUUUGUGCAUGUACUACAGCAUCUUUUACUUUGUUCGUAUGUAGUAAUAUACACUGUAUUGCAUCUGACCCCUGAAAGUAAAUCAAUGUAAUUAGAAGAAAAAAACAUGAAAUGUUGCAUUGCAGGAUGUUUGAUGACAGCUCAGUGGUUUGCAAUUUUUCACAAAGUAAAUCCAUGUUCAAUUGAGUAACGACAUAAUACCUUGUUCUUUCUUAAAACCUCUCAAAUUUCCUCAGCAUUAAACAAUCGGCUGCGUUUUCCAGGAUGCUGAGGACACUCUUUACGAACAAUUUCUUGACUCAUUUCUUGUAUUAGAUCGUGCAUCACAAUUCUACCAUCAAAGACAGAUAUUAGGCCCCUAUCUUUGAGAAUAUCCAUUCCAAUCUUAGAAGAGAAACCACAGUCAGCAAGUGUUUCUGCUACCACAAUCUCCUGGCGUCCUCUAUAAAAGCAAGCUAUGUCAAGAAAUAUAUUCUUCUCCUCCUCCUCCAGCCCAUCAUAACUUAAUUUUAAUACAUUGAAAAUAUCAAGAUGUUGGCCCUUUUCCAACUUUUGCAACUGACUCUCCCAUGCUUCUCUUGUUCUGCCAUAAAGCAAUGACCCCAAAAUCUAGAGAGCUAAUGGAAUCCCUUUUGCAUAUCUCAACACCUUUUCUGACAGUUCCCUGUAAGCAAUUUCUUCUGAAGAUUUUUGUUUAAAAGCAAGUAAACUAAAAAGUUUCUGAGAAUCAUCAAAAUUCAACUCCUUAACUUCGUAGAUAUCAUCAGCUCUAGCAUUCUUAAGCACUUGUUUGUCUCUACUGGUGAUAAUCAUUCUACUGCCCUGCCCAAAACUAUCACUCCCUCCUAUUAAUUUUUUAAGUAGAGCUGAAUCGGUAACAUCAUCAAGAAUGAGGAGAGCCUUUGUCCGUUUCAGCCUUUCAUUGUAAUAUGAUAAACCAUGGGAUUUCUUUAUCUCUUCCUUUAGAAGCUCAGACAGAUAUUUUGUUCUGAUACUGUCUAUUCCAUCUUUUUGUAUUUUUUCUUGAACGUCUAAAACAAGGCUGCUGGAACCAAACUGCAAAGCCAAUGUGUGAUAUAUUUGAUAACAAAUUGUAGUUUUUCCUAUUCCUCCCAUGCCACAAAUUCCUAUGAUCCGAACAUGCGGUGACUCAAGAUGCAACAAGGACUGAAUUCCUUCAAUGUGUUUUUCAAUGCCGAUGAUUCCUUGAUCAUAACUGGUGGAAUAACGAUUCAAUUUUCUCAAAAUAUCUUCCACAAUUUCUUCAACAAGUGUGUGUUCUGGCCUGGCAGAUGAUUUAGAAAAUAAAGUAUAAGUAUUCAAGCACAAAAGCUAAACUAAACUAAAGAAAAAAUCAGAGUUAAGAGGAGUGAACAUCAUUGAAUAGAUUCACAUAUCGAUUCUAGUUUCGAGUUUUGGAUAAAAUAAAUAAAUUAAAAAGUUGAAGGUAAGUAUAGGACGUUAUCUUCGUAUAUUAGUUUGGUUGGUUUAGAAAUUGCAAAUCAAGAUGGCAAAAAUACUACAGUAACCGUUUGUGACUUCUGAUAAUAGGGAGCAGAUUUGUAGGUACAAAGUUAAGCUAUAACAUGUGAUAUGGUUCAGAUCCAUGACCGACUAAAAGAAAGACUUGAUUUAUGGUGAGAUGAACACAAUUUUAGUAAAUGAAAAGAAAUCCUGUUUAUCUCGAAAUUAUCUAAUAAAUAUAAUGACCUGGUGACUUUUGAAUCCCAGCCUGAAAGUCCAGCAGCUUCGGUGAGAGCAUCCUUCCAUCCUUGCGCUUUGACCAUGUCGUGCAUAAACCGCUGUUCAUGAUCAUCGAAUGAUUCUUUGUAUCUUUCUUCCUGCUUCCUAAUAGUUGAUGGAUCCACCUUGUAGAAAACAGGUAUCACAUCCCUUCCAAAUCUCUUCUUGCAUUCAAGUAUCUUACUGAGUUCAUUCAAGCACCAAGUGGAAGAUGCAUAGUUUUGGGAGAAAACGAUGACAUAAAUCUUUGAUUCUUCUAUUGCAGAGAGCAGUGCAGGUGAAAUUUCUUCGCCCCUGAGUAGUCUAUAAUCAAUAUAUGCUUCAAUGUUCUUCCUUUGCAGUGCUGCAUAAAGGUGGCUAAUGAAGUUGUCACGUGUGUCUUCGCCUCUGAAGCUGAGAAACACAUCAUGCCUUGUUAGAGAAGUAGACACGGCCAAUGAUGAAGGACUUUCUGACAUUGGAGUCAAUUUUCUCUCCUUUCUCUGCAAUUCUCAGGUCUCUUUCUUUGUACUGUUUCUACCACAAAUCUACUCUGCUGCUCUGGACUCAUUAUAAAACACAAGUCAACUUUUGAAAAAGUCUUUCAAUUUUCUUAACAUUCCUUUCACAGAUAUGUGUUCUGGUCAGACAUCGUAGUCAGCAGAAACUAAAGAAAAAGAAAAAUAUUAAUUUAAUAGAAUAGUCAACAAAUUGCAAAAUAAGUAUGGAAUCUAGAUUUAUAUCAUUAUCACGUGUGGAAACAUAGCUACGUCUUCUUAGAUAAAAUCCUUAUUUAAGUUUUAAUUGGGCCUUGUAGUGGGCUUUGUAAUCUGCUUUUCUUUUCUCCUAUAUUGCUUUAUAUAUACACCUCCACUUUUGCUUUCUACAUUUCAUUUUACAAAAUACAUUCUCUCAUUCUGUGUCAUUUAUCUUGCCUGAUUCCGUCCUCUCUUUAUCUUUUUCUCUCAUCCUCUUGCUUAUAAUUCUUUUGUUUUUAUUAAGAAAUACACUAUAAUUCUAAUUUAAUCAUAUACUAUAAUUAUGCUAAUCAUCAAUUAGUACUAUAUAUUAUUAAUGAUCUGCGUAUAUAUUAUUUAUGAUUUGCGGAUAAGACAAUAGAUUCAAUAAAUUCUAGAUAAAAUAAAUUUUAAAUGAAUAUGAUAAAAAUAUAUUAAAAAAUGAACUUUAUUGAAUCGAUUGAGUAUCUCUAUUUUAAAGACUUGUAAGAAUAAUAGGAAUAACAAUAUAUUAAUAUUAAUAUGUUUCUUAAUAAAUUUCAUACCCACUAUCUAUUUAUAAAUUAAUAUAUUAUAAAUAUCUAAUGAUGUCUUAUUUCUCUAACAUUUAAAAUUAAAUUUGUAGAUUCUACAAAACAUUACAUUUUGAUUUUAAUAUUUAUAAAAUAUUUUUUAUUCUCAUAUUUAAAAAACAAAACUUAGUUUGAGUGUAUUCCUUAGUUACUUACUACUCAUCACCAGCCGCCAACAGCGUGAUGGCUUCACUCUCCGUUCGCGCCACAACCACCUCUUAUCGGGCCUCCUUCCGGCCCAAGCCCACCUCGGGGCCCACCAGGGUCCGAAUGUCCCUCCGCGAUGACGGCCCCGCCAUCGCCGUCGUCGGCGUCACCGGCGCCGUUGGCGAGGAGUUCCUCUCCGACCGCGACUUCCCCUACCGUUCCAUCAAAAUGCUGGCCUCGCAGCUCUCCGCCGGCCGCCGCAUCAUCUUCGAGGACAGGGACUACGUCGUGGAGGAGCUCACAGCGGAUAGCUUCGACGGCGUCGACAUUGCGCUCUUUAGCGCCGGCGGUGGUAGACUAUAGCUCCGCAUUUGGGAUGGACGAGAAGGUGACGCUGGUUAUUCCCGAAGUGAAGCCCCAAACGAUGCAACACAUCAAAGUUGGAACGGGAAAAGGCGCUCUGAUUGCGAACCCUAAUUGCUCCACCAUUAUUUGCUUGAUGGACAUACUAAUUAAUAUCAAUUAUAACAAAUAAUGAACGUUUCUGGUCAUUUCUUGUACUUCGCGUUAUUUCAUAACAGUAGUUUUUUUAAAUAAAUUAAGAAAAAUAUUCAUUUUUAAAUUUAAUGCACUUUUAAAUAAUUUGACUAUUAUAAACAUAAUCACUUAUAAAAAUAAUUUUAGAGUAGUUGAUAUAAUUAAAAUAAAAUAUUUUAUUAUUAAAGUAAAAAUUAUAUAUAAAUAAAAAAUAGGUUUUAUUUUAAAAUAAUAUUCAAUUUUAUAAAAGUUUUUUCUUUUUGUCUUUUUUUUUUUAUAUUUCUAACCAUAUUUUUUCGUGAGGUUGAUAAUAGAAUCUCACUUUGGAUUUAUGGGAAUGAAUAAUGAAUUAGUUUUUAGUUUUCUAUUUAUCUAUAUAUAAAGGUGAUACGGUGACAAAUUCCAAAAUUUUAUUAUAAUGUUUGCUUUGUUGAUUGAAAUAGAUGUUAAUUGAUGAAAAAGAUUGAAAGUUUUAAACCCAAUACACCCCUCACGUCGAGGUUAGGUGGACUGAUAAGUUCAGCAAAAUCUCGUUAUGAUAGUUUUUAGAUGACUCUGAUACCACAAUAAAAAAUAAACUUUAAAUUUAACUCAACCUUACAAAACUAAUUUAUAAAGUGAGCUAUGUAUCCCUAGUCGAUGUAGAAUCUCUAACAAUGAUUUAAAUGAAUUGUUAUAUGCUUUAUGAAGUUUAACCUUUAUUUUUACUUGACAAAUUGGAUUUUAAUGAGGUAUAUAUGCUCUCAGCAUCAAAUCCGCUUAACGAAAUUUAUAUGUGUCAAGCGAAUUUGGACAUGUAGAGUUUGAUGUGCUCUUGGCCUCAAAUCCGCUCAAUGUUUUUUUUUCCUGUACUUAAGCAAACUUACAUCCAGAUUUUGGAGUACUUUCGAACUCAAAUUUGCUCAAAGAAAUUUUCUUAUGGUAAGCAAAUUUAAGCGGCUAUUGUUUGGAUGUUCUCUGCCUCAAAUUCGUUCAGUGAAAUUUUCCUGUGCUAAGGAGAUUUCUCUGGGCUUAAGCCCCAACUUCAUGGGCUCGACCCAUUUUGACGACAUUUGUCAUCUUUGCUUAGAUAUCUUUUGGUUUGUUUUCUAUAGGUCAUGAAAUUGAAUUAAAUCUUUUGAAAUUUAUCAUUUUGUAAAUUGUAAGUGAUUACAACUUUCUAAUGUUCAUGCAACAUGUGUUUAAAAUAAGUAAAUCUAACAAAUAAAUACUCGUUACAUAUUCAAUGGAAAGCUUUUUCUUUUAAUUCUUUGGUGUUUUAUUUUGAUGAUGUAUAUAUUUGAAAAUCAAUGUAUGAAUGGAUAAUGCUUUAUGAUAUAAUAAUAUUACAAUGUAAAUGUUAUUUAUAUACUAUCACAUGAUAAAUUAAAAUUUAAUAAGAUAGUUAAGGAUGUUAUAAUUAUUCUUUUAAUUUAUUUUAUUUCACUGUAUAUUUAGGUGUAUUACGUAGAAUGUAUAGUUAAAAAAAUAAUGUUAUUUUGAAAUUUAAAGAAUGACGUAUAGAAAUAAACAAGCUUUUGUUAAAAUUAUACUAUUUGAAAAGGAACACAGAACAAUAUUGACAAUUAUACUUUUACUUAUUACUUAUUUUAAUUUAUUAUAUUCAUGAGUAUUAUUUUUUUUAAACAUAGAUAUUGGAUAAAAAAUAUAAAUAACAUUUAUUUAUUUCAAAUUUAAAAAUCUUUAAAAUAAAAUUAAAUAAUAUUUUUAAUUAAGAUGUGUUUUUUAACAAUUUUUUUAAUUUAAAAAAUAAUUAAUUCGGAGGAUGAUUAAAGAAAUAUUAACAAAUUAUUUCUGCGUUUAUAAUAAACCUUCAAUAAUAUUUGUACUUUCUAGCAUAUAGAAUACUUAAUGGAUCCCUUUGUGAUUUUUCUUUUCUAAAGUGCAAUUGAUAUUUUAAAUGUUUUUCUAUUUAAUUUUCCUUUCUUAAUGACACAUUAAAGGGUUCAGUGCACGAUUAAUUAUUCUCACCUUAGAUUUCAUUCAUCUCAUUCCAUUUCCACACUCAAAUCAUUCUCACAUUUUUUUCUACCUAUUUCACAAAGUUUUAUGUAAAAUAUGGAAAUUAAACUAAAAGAACCCUACUUAUAUAUUAAUAUUCAACAACUUAAAAUAUUACUAUGCAAAUUAAUCUUUCUUAAUAAUGUUAUGUAAAAAUUAAAAUGUAGUUUAGUCAUUCAUACUUAGAUGGAUAAAGAUGGUUUUAGAAAAAAAAUGCAUUUUAUUUCAAAUCUAUUACUUAUAAAAUGAGUUAUAAAAUGAGGUUUGUGAUAUUUAUUCAAAAUUUAAAUUAUAUUAUGCAUUUAUGGUUUUAUGUUUUUAAAGAAAUCAGAAACUUAGAAAAGCUCCUAAAAACUACUGAAAUCCAUAAGAUGAUAAUUAAUAAACAUCCUCUCUUAAUAACAUAACAUAUAAGAUAGGAGUCUUUACACUUAUAUUCUUCAAACAAUUAUAAGCUGUCUUCAACUUUACUGUUAAACUACAAUUAUAAAGAAUUAACAAUCUCACACACCAACAACAUUUAUAAGCCAUCACUCACAUGAAACAAGGUGCCUCAAUGUGAAAAAACCAAGAUCAAUAAGAAAUGAGGUUCCACUUAACCAAGCUGAGAAUUUUCUGGUUUUCCAACUCCAUGCACAAACCUAAUACAAUGAUAUGAUAUUCAAUCAGCAUUAAUUGGCAUAAACAGGUACAUUGUUGUAAAACUGGGAUUAUAAGGUUCCAUAGGAUGGAGAAAAGUAAGAAGAGGAUUUACCAAUUACCCUUUCAAAUGGAGCUCCUCAGGAUUUCAUAAUGCCUUCACUGCAAAUGCAACCCAAAUAUGCUAAAAAAGUUAAUGAAACUAUAUAUGAAGAGUUUCAAGAAAAUGCAACUCUGGGACAACAGAGAAACCCAUCUCAUGCUGAACAGAAACAUCAAACUAUAUCUAACAAUAACUUAGAAAUCUUUGUCAACAAUUGAACGAACCCACUCCUAAAAUGCCAUUGAAAAUGUAAAUAAAACAAAAUAAAUUAAAAACGAGAAAUUCAUAAUAAAAAUUCAACGUGUUGAAACUUAUGAUAACUCAGUUUAGAUCCUGACCAAUGAAAGACUAAUUAGCAGAAGAGGAAGAGACUAGUUGACAGGGUAGCUUUCGGCCUUUCUCUUCCUAUCUUUCCUUGUUUCUCUUGAAGACUGUGCAACAUUGCUUCCACUGGAUUCUUCAAUGUCAACAUCACCACCAUAUUUAUCAUCUUUCUUUUUGGUAUAAAGGGGGCAUAUGCCGCAUUCUUUUAUUGUGAUGUCUGAUGCCAUCACUCUCACACCUGAUUUGUAACUAUACAGACUGAUCUCAAAAGUGAAGCUGCGAGCAUCACAGACCCUAAGGCUCUUGCGGCUCGCCGUUAGGGACUCCAUGUUAAAUUUCCACACGAAUGUGUGAUCUUCAUCAACACAUCUGUGUUCACCAUUCCAUUUGAAAUAGCUGUUUAACACAUCAUUAUUUAGAAUGAUCUGUGUGCCAUCAUCAUCAUCAGAUUCAAAUUUUAGACUGUAACCAAAAGAACCAUAUCUACAUUUAACAGCUUUCGUAUCUAACACUCCAAAAACCACACACAAAGCGAAACCAGUGAGCCUAUCAUCGCUGCAGAAACUUAAAUCUUCAUUUAUAGUCACUGAAUGUCCCUUCCCACGAGAAUGGAACCAACGAGGAACUGCAUUCCCUGGAAAACAGAAGAACACAGACCUAUAUGCAUCGUCGGUCAUCCUAACCCAUGCAUCCUCCUCAAUGUUAGCACGAGCACCUGAAUCCAGUUGCUGAGCAUUGGUGAAAUGAAAUUUGAAGACACCCUCUUUGGAGUUUGAGAAGUUUGGAACAAGAGAAUUUGACAUCACUCUUCUGAUGGAUGGGCAAUCCAAUGCCACGAGUUGUUUUAGAAAUGGUGGAAUCUGUGGGAUGGAUUCAAGUUUUUUGCAGUCGCUUAAAUCGAGCGAGUUCAAGCUUGAAAGAUGAGCAAUGCUCUCAGGAAGGUUCACGAUUCCGCUAUCACGCAGUGACAGUUCCAUUAAUGACGUCAAGCGACCGAUGUGGCUUGGGAUUUCUGUUAAUUUGGCACACCCCGAACAAUCAAGUUUAGAGAGAAGCUUCAGAUUAACAAUGGAGUUUGGAAGUGACUCGAGAUGAAUGCACUCUUGGAGUUCCAGGGAUCGAAGAUUAACGAAAUUGCCAAAUGAGGAAGGCAGUUCUUUAACAGCCGUAGAUGUUAAGUUAAUGUGAGCAAAAGUAUGAGCCGGCUCCGCGAUCUCUGGGAAGGUCCUCAGCCUUGAGCAACCACGCAAAUCAAGGUUCCUCAACUUCAAAUUGAAAAUGGUGCUUGGAAAAGUUUGAAGUGAAUUACAGUGGGUAAGGUCUAACUUGCAUAGUCUGGUGAGGGUUCCAAUGGAAGAUGGAAUAAUCUCAAGAUUCAAGCAACUGCGCAAACUCAGUCCUUGAAGCCCUACCAAACGGCACAAGGAUGAAGGUAGUGCCUGUAUGGCUGUGCCGUCUAAGAUGAGCACCACUAGAUCUUCCAACGUGUCCUGAAUCUCGGGUAAAUUUUCCAAUUUUGAGCAACCACUGAGAGAAAGUUUCUUUAUGAAUUUCAUAUCAGAAAGGUGAAAUGGAAAGAUUGUAAGGGAAGAACAGUGAGAGAGAUCUAAGUAACAGAGCUUCUUGCGAUUAAAGUUGAAGUGACAGAGCUUCAUGAGUUUUGUGAACACUUUAAAACAUAUAGUAUCAUUAGCCACUUCUUCUUCCUUAUAUCUGUCAAAAGUAAUUGAGAAAAUUUCACUGGAAGUUGGGAAAAAAGGACCACGGUGUCGACGUUUACCACGCCGUCCUGAGAAAUUCGUCAUAUCCGGUUCCUGACGAGGGAAUAUUGAGAAAGUUUGAAGUUGACGCUCCAGUAUCACAUGAGGGAAUCUGGGUUUACUGAUCGAAAACAUAUUAAGCUUCGGACAACGGGAAAGAGUAAUCCAUCCUGGUGAUGUGGAUAAAAUGUUGCUGGGAAUAUUUACACUAUUCAGAUCAUUACAAUCAUCUAAACAUAAACAACUGAGCUUGUUGAGGAAUAUCCAAGAGUGAACUUCAAUCAACUUUUCACAACUUUUCAGAAUUAUUUCUUCAAUAUUUGGUGACAUAGAAAGGUCUGGUAUUCUAGUAAGUUUCCGAGAAUAACUCAGGUCGAGCCUUUUCAAGUUGGGUAAAUUCUGCCACAAAUAGGAAAUGAAUGAGGUAACAAAUAAAAACUACUUUAUCUAUUUUUCUUCGGUAAAAUAUUAGCUACAUCAUCUAAUCUAUUCACUUUAUAUUUUACAUUACUUCAAAACCACUGUUAAAAAAAAUCACACUGUCAACUAACAAAACUGUGGCUAUAAAUUUAAUAGUUAUUAUAAAAAACCACAAAAUUUAACGUGUUUUUGUUCCCUACCUCAAAUUACAUCCUAAUAAUUUGAACCUAAACUUAUUAUGUAUUUAAAAACUGAUGAUAGUAAUUUAUAAUCGAUGACAGUGUGGAAAUACUUUAUAUCAUGCAUGUAUCAACUGACAAAAUAAAAUGGUGUUGUCUGAUGAUAGUAAUUUAUAAUCGAUGACCAUCUUUCCAUAAUUUAUUUUAUUAAAUACAUAAUUUGUUGUAUAUUAUAUUGAAGUUUAUGUUAUAAUAAUAAAAAAAUACUUAAUUAGGUUUUGAGUAUCCAGUAAGACAUUUUUAAUUAAUUUUUUUAUUAAAUUUUUUAAUUAUUUAAGUACUCAAAUUUUUUAUAUUUCCAAUAGAAUAUAUGUCAUUUUUAAUUUUUGAGUUAAUUGGGUGAUACAGAAAUUAUCUUGUCACAUGAUCUUACUUACUUGUCUUUAUGUAUUAAGGAAUAUGAAGUUUUAUGAUUGGCCAUUAGACUAUAUACCUAAAAAGAGGAUGCAAACUCUUCUACAUGCUACUAAAUUUAUAACUAUCUUUAAUUAGAAACAUGCUGAGUAUGAUUCUUAUGAUAUAUGUAUAACUGUGUGGUUCAAAUAAAAGAAAUUUCAAAUCGAAUAAUGUGGAGAAGCACAAAGGAAUUGCAAAUGAAAACCAGUAGAUGUAUAAUACAGAAAACAUGCUUGUAUAACUUAUUUUUGUCUUUGAAAGUUUAGAACACAAAGAAACAUAGAUAGCUUGAAAAACCUGAUCUCCUUCCCAGAGUUGUUCAAGAUGGCAGUAUGGCAUUUCGAGGGUCACUAGAUUUUGCGGGCAAAAGUUUGGAGGCAAAGAUCUUUGAGGGAAAUGUUUCCAAUAAAGAAUCUUUAGAGUGUCUGGCAGACCUACAAUAGAUGAUUCAAGAGACACAUUUGACGUGUAUUUUGGCGUGUUGAGCAUAAGCAUCCUAAGAUUGUCCAUCUUUUCGAAACUUUGUGCAUGUACUACAACUUCAUUUACUUUGCUCGUAUCUAGUGAUAUACACUGUAUUGCAUCUAACCCCUGAAAGUAAAUCAAUGUAAUUAGAAAAAAAAAGCAUGAAAUGUUGCUGUAUGGUUAUGGGCAGAUUGAUGAGAUAUGGUAACCUUCGGAUACUGAUCAUGAAGUGACAUAAAGGAGAAGGAAGCGUUACUGAAGGAGAGUAAUGGAAAUUUAUGAGAAAUUAAGCCGUUGGUUACAGAGACUAGGUAGGGACCGAGUCAUCUAUACCAGGGACCGAGUCAUCUAUAAGAGGAGGCAGAGACGAAGAGUAGGGGUAGGAAAAAAAGAUAUGGUUUUUAUAUUAUCUUUGAUGCUCUAGCUAAGGAUCAUCUGUCCUAAAACAGUUGCAUUUCUGGAUGUUUAAUGACAGCUCAAUAGUUUGCAGUUUUUUCACAAAGUAACAACAGAAUAUACCUUGUUUUUUCUUAAAACAUCACAAAUUUCCUCAGCAUUAAACAGUCGGCUGCGUUUUCCAGGAUGCCGACGACACUCUUUACGAACAAUUUCUUGACCCAUUUCUUGUAUUAGAUCGUGCAUCAUAAUAAUACCAUUAAAGACAGAUAUUAGGCACCUAUCUUUGAGAACAUCCAUUACAAUCUUAGUAGAGAAACCAUUGCAGUCAUCAAGUAUUUCUGCCAGCACAAUCUCCUGGUAUCCUCUAUAAAAGCAAGCAAUGUCAAGAAAUAUAUUCUUCUCCACCUCCUCGAGCCCAUCAUAACUUAAUUUUAAUACAUUGAAAAUACCAUGAUGUUGGCCCUUUUUCAACUUUUGCAACUGACUUUCCCAUGCUUCUUUUGUUCUGUCACAAAGCAAUGAGCCCAAAAUCUGGAGAGCUAACGGAAUCCCUUUUGCAUAACUCAACACCUUUCCUGACAGUUCCUUGUAAGCAAUUUCUUCUGAAGAUUUUUGUUUAAAAGCAUGUAAACUAAAAAGUCUUAGAGAAUCAUCAGAAUUCAACUCCUUAACUUCGUAGAUAUCAUCAGCUCUAGCAUUCUUAAGCACUUGUCUGUCUCUACUGGUCAUAAUGAUUCUACUGCCCUGCCUAAAACUAUCACUCCAUCCUAUUAAUUUUUGAAGUUGAGCUGAAUCGGUAACAUCAUCAAGAAUGAGGAGAGCCUUUGUCCGUUUGAGCCUUUCUUUGUAAUAUGGUAAAGAAGAAGAUUUCUCUUCCUUUAGAAGCUCAGACAGAUAUUUUGUUCUGAUACUAUCUAUUCCAUCUCUUUGUAUUUUUUCUUGAACGUCUAAAACAAGGCUGCUGGAAUCAAACUGCAAUGCCAAUUUCUGAUAUAUUUGAUCACAAAUUGUACUUUUUCCUAUUCCUCCCAUGCCCCAAAUUCCUAUGAUCCGAACAUCCGGUGACUCAGGAUGCAACAAGGACUGAAUUCCUUCAAUAUGUUUUUGAAUGCCGAUGAUUCCUUGAUCAUAACUGGUGGAAUAAAGAUUCAAUUUUCCCAAAAUAUCUUCCACAAUUUUUUCAACAAGUUUGUGGUCAUUCCUGGCAGAUGAUUUAGAAAAUAAAGUAUAAGAAUUCAAGCACAAAAGCUAAACUAAACUAAAGAAAAAUUCAGAGUCAAGAGGAGUGAACAUCAUUGAAUAGAUUCACAUAUCGAUUCUAGUUUCGAGUUCUGGAUAAAAUAAAUAAAUUAAAAAGUUGAAGGUAAGUUUAGGACGUUAUCUUCCUAUAUUAGUUUGGUUGGUUUAGUAAUUGCAAAUCAAGAUCGCAGAAAUUCUACAGUAACCGUAUGUGACUUCUGAUAAUAGGGAGCAGAUUUGUAGGUACAAAGUUAAGCUAUAACAUGUGAUAUGGUUCAGAUCCAUGACCGACUAAGAGAAAUGAAAAAAGAAACACUUGAUUUAUGGUGAGAUGAACACAAUUUUAGUAAAUGAAAAGAGAUCCUGAUUAUCUAAUAAAUAUAAUGACCUGGUGACUUUUGAAUCCCAGCCUGCAAGUUCAGCAGCUUCGGUUAGAGCAUCCUUCCAUCCUUGCACUCUGUCCAUGUCGUGCUUAAGCCGCUGUUCAUGCUCAUCAAAUGCUUCUUUGAAUCUUUGUUCCUGCUUCCUAAUAGUUGAUGGAUCCACCUUGUAGAAAACAGGUAUCACAUCCCUUCCAUAUCUCUUCUUGCAUUCAAGUAUCUUAGUGAGUUCAUUCAAGCACCAAGUGGAAGAUGCAUAGUUUUGGGAGAAAACGAUGACAUAAAUCUUUGAUUCUUCUAUUGCAGAGAGUAGUGCAGGUGAAAUUUCUUCGCCCCGGGGUAGUCUCUCGUCAAUAUAUGCUUGAAUGUUCUUCCUUUGCAGUGCUGCAUGAAGGUGACGAAUGAAGUUGUCACGUGUGUCUUCCCCUCUGAAGCUGAGAAACACAUCAUGCUUUGUUAGAGAAGCAGACACGGGGAAUGAUGAAGGACUUCCUGACAUUGGAAUCAAUUUUCUCUCUUUUCUCUUGCAACUCUCAGUGCCUUUGUUUGUACACAAAUCAACUCUUGGAAAAGUCUUUGAAUUUUCUCAAAAGUAUCUUUCACAGAUCACGCACGCGUGGAAACAUAGCUGUGUUAAAAUCCUUAUUUAAGUUUUAAUUGGGCCUUGUAGUGGGCUUUGUAAUGUGCUUUUCUUUUCUCCUACAUUGCUUUAUAUAUACACCUCAGCGUUUGCUUUCUACAUUUCAUUUUACAAAAUACAUUCUCUCAUUUUCUACCUUUUAUAUUGUCUGAUUCCGUUCUCUCUUUAUUUUUUUUCAAAUCUCUUUUGCUUACAAUUUUUUUUUCUUUUUUAAGAAAUGUACUUUUUCAAGUUUAAUUUAAUUUUAUAAAACAGUCAUCUUUCUACAGUAUUAUCAUCUCUUACGUGAGAUUAUUAUAUAUUAUUUGGUGAUCUAAGUAAACUUUUAAUCCAAUAAACUUUAAAAAUAAUUCUAAUACUAUAUUAAAAAAUGAAAUUUAAAUCUAAUUCUAUUUUAUAAAAUAUAUUUAUUCAAUGCUAAAAUAUCUCUAAUUGAGUAGGGAUGUUCAAAAUACUUAUUGGUUCUUGAUUUUCACUUUCACUUUUAAGGUUUUUCUUCGCAGACACGUAGUAAACAGAAAUACAAAAAUAUGAGUCAAUGGAAGAGUCUAACGAUUCGCAGAAUAUUAUGGUGUCUAGCUUUAUACCGCAUUAAUGCGAGGAGUUUCUUUAAUAUUUUUACUCAAUUUAUUUAUUUUUAAUUCUUUUUUUUUUCACACCUUUUACAAAUAAAGAAUCGUAUUUCUUUAAUAUAUUUUAGAAAAUAACCACUAAACCUUAUUAUAAAAUAUAUUUAUGAAAUGCACGUGUAAGAAUAACAGGAAAAAUAUUACUACGAAAAACAAUAUAUUAAUAUUAAUAUGUUUCUUAAUAAAUUUCAUACCCACUGUCUAUUUAUAAAUUAAUAUAAUAUAAAUAUCUUUAAUGAUGUUUUUGUGGGUAGCUUAUUUCUCUAACGCAGAAUAUUAUGGUGUCUACUUUUAUAAAACAUUACAUUUUGAUUUUAAUAUUUAUUAAAUAUUUUUUAUUUGGGAUGAAGUAACGAUGAUGAAUCGAAUGUGUUUUGAAGUCUGACAUAACUUUUAGAGAUGUUAUGAGAACGGUUAAUGACGGAAAUUAUCAAAAACCUUUUGGGGGAAGGUUGUGGUUUUGGGAGGUGAUUUCAGGUAAAUAUUGUUAGUGGUAAAAAAAGGAUUAAGAUAUGAUGUUGUGAAGUCAACAAUCAACUUUUCUCAUUUGUGGUUAAAUUGUCGAGUCUUAAAACUUUCUCAAGGAAAUCCAACACGAUCUAUUGAUUGAGCCCACAAAAACACCUUUGUUAUCAUUGGUGAAUUUUGUUUAUCCUAAUUUAUUGACUGAUAUGUUAUGUCCUGAGUACUUUGAGUAUGGAGCAAUACUUUGUCCGACAACUGAAUCAGUAGAGCAAGUGAAUGAUUUUAUUUUAUCUCUGUUAAGUGGUAAAUAAAUAAAUUAUCUUAGUUCGGAUACACCUUGCCAAUUAGAUUAAGAUCAAGAAUUUAAAGUGAAUGGUUCACUUCUGAGUUCUUAAAUGAGAUAAAAUGUUCAGAGAUACUAAAUCAUCGCCUUCAUUUGAAAAUUGGCGUGCCUAUUAUGCUUUUGAGAAAUAUUGAUCAAACCAACGGUCUUUGUAAUGGAACAAGGUUGCAAGUUAUUGAUUUGAAGAAAAUGUUAUUUGUGCAAUAGUUCUAACAGGAACAAAUAUUGGUGAUAAAAUCUUUAUUUCAAUAAUGAAUUUGAUCCCUUUAGAUGUAGGUAUGCCAUUCAAAUUCUAGAGAAGACAAUUUCCAAUAACUUUAUGUUUUGCAAUGACAAUUAAGAAAAGUCAAAGUCAAUUAUUGACCAAAGUUGGUUUAUAUUUUUCACGUCCAAUUUUCACACAUUGAUAGUUGGAUGUAGCUAUUUAUAGAGUUAGAAAGAAAAAAAUUUAAAAAUUCUAACUCUUGAUGAAGAUGGGAAUGCAACAAACAAGAAAAAGAAAAUGUUUACACUGAAACUUUUGACAAUAUUUAAAAACAAUAGAAUUAUAUGAUAAACUUGGAAUAAUGGCUAAUUCUCCCUGCACCCAAUAUUUUUGAACAUGCAACUUUUAAAUUUGCUCCCUUGUAAUUAUAUUUUCUUAUGUGUGAUGUAGUAACAGUUGCCUUAUUUAAAAUGUUACUAAAUAACAUAUCAUUUAUAUCUGUUAUUUUUAUUCUGUUCUGAUUUUAUAUAUAUGUUAACGAAGUUGAGAAUUUUCUGAUUUUACAGGUCCAUGCACAAACCUAAUAUAAUGAUAUGAUAUUCAAUAUCAAGAGGUACUUGUCGUAAAACGGGGAAUAUGAGAGACUCCAUAGAAUGAAGAAAAAGUAUAAAGAGGAUUUACAAAUUACCCUUUCAAAUGCAGCUCCUCAGAAUUUCUUAAUGCCUUCACUGCAAAUGCAACCCAAAUAAGCUAAAGAAGUUAAUCAAACUAUACAUUAAGAGUUUCAAGAAAAUGAAACUCUGGAACAACAGAGCAACCCAUCUCAUGCUCAAUAGAAACAUCAAACUAUAUCUAACAAUAACUUAGAAAUCUUUGUCAACAAUUGAACGAACCCACUCCUAAAAUGCCAUUGAAAAUGUAAAUAAAUAAAUAAAAAUUAAAAAUGAGAAUUCAUAAUAAAAUUUCAUCGUGUUGAAACUUGUAAUUUAGAAGUAUUACGAUAAGCCAGUUUUGAUCCUCGCGAAUGAAAGACUAAUUAGCAGAAAGACUGUGCAAAAUUCCUUCCACUGGAUUCUUCGAUGUCAACUGAUUUGGUAUAAAGAGGACAUAUGCCGCAUUCUUUUAUUGUGAUAACUGAUUUCAACUCUCUCACAAGUAAUUUGCGAUUUGACCGAUUUGGCCGCAGAAAGGGAUCAUCAUAAUCAUGCGAACUGAUCUCAAAAGUGAAGCUGCGAGCAUCACACAGCCUAAGGCUCAUGCCGCUUGCCCUUAGGGACUCCAAGUUAAAUUUCCACACCAAUGUGUGAUCUUUAUCAACACCUCUCUCUUCAUCAUCCCAUCUGAAAUAGUUGUUUAACACAUCAUUAUUUGGAAUUAUCCGUGUGCCAUGAUCAUCAGAUUCAAAUUUUAGGCUGUAACCAAAGGAACCAUAUCUACCUUUAACAACUUUCGUAUCUAACACUUCAAAAACCACACACAAAGCGAAACCACUGAGCCUAUCAUCGCUUAAAAAACUUAAAUCUUCAUUUAUAGUCACUGAAUGUCCCUUCCCACGAAAAUGGAACCAACCAGGAACUGCACUCCCUGGAAAACAGAAGAACACACACCUAUAUCUAUCGUCGGUCAUCCUAAGCCUUGCAUCCUCCUCAAUGUUAGCACGACCACCUGAAUCCAGUUGUUGAGCAUUGGUCAAAAGAAAUUUGAAGAAACCCUCUUUGGAAUUUGACAAGUUUGGAACAAGAGAAUUGGACAUCACUCUUCUAAUGGAUGGGCAAUCCAAUGCCACUAGUUUUUUUAGAAAUGGUGGAAUCUCUGGGAUGCAUUCAAGCUUUUUGCAGUCGCUUAAAUCAAGCGAUUUCAAGCUUGAAAGAUGAGCAACGCUCUCAGGAAGGUUCACAAUUCCGCUAUCACACAGUGACAGUUCCAUUAAUGACGUCAAGCGACCGAUAUCUCUAGGGAUUUCUGUUAAUCUGGCACACCCCGAACAAUCAAGUUUAGAGAGAAGCUUGAGAUUAACAAUGGAGUUUGGAAGUGACUCCAGAUCAGUGCAUUUGCGGAGCUCCAGGGAUCGAAGAUUAACCAAAUUGGCAAAUGAGGAAGGCAGUUCUUUAACAGCCGUACAUAUCAAGUUAAUGUGAUCAAAAGUAGGAGCCGGCUCUGUGAUCUCUGGGAAGGUCCUCAGACUUGAGCAACCACACAAAUCAAGGUUCCUCAACUUCAAAUUGAAAAUGGUGCUUGGAAAAGUUUGUAGUGAACUACAGUGGGUAAGGUCUAACUUGCAUAGUCUGGUGAGGCUUCCAAUGGAAGAUGGAAUAAUCUCAAGAUUGAAGCAACUGCACAAACUCAGUUGUUGAAGCCCUACCAAACGGCACAAGGAUGAAGGUAGUGCCUGUAUGGCUGUGUCGUCUAAGAUGAGCACCACUAGAUCUUCCAACGUGUCCUGAAUCUGGGGUAAAUUUUCCAAUUUUGAGCAACCACGGAGUGAAAGUUGCUUUAGGAACUUCAUAUCAGAAAGGUCAAAUGGAAAGAUUGUAAGGGAAGAACAGUGAGAGAGAUCUAAGUGACAGAGCCUCUUGAGAUUUUGAAAGUUUGAGGGUACACCUUCGAGUAUUGUCGACACUUCACAUUGUGAGUAUAUAGUAUUAUUACCCACUUCUUCUUCGUUAUAUCUGUCAAAACUAAUUGAGGAAAUUUCACUGGAAGUUGGGAAAAUACCUUUAGCAUUAUGGAAUUUAACAGUCCCUCCCAAAAGUAAACUUGAGAAAGUUGGACGUUGACCCUCCAGUUUCACAUGAAGGUAUCUGGGUUGACUGGUUGAAAACAUUUCAAGCUCCUCACAGUGAGAAAGAAUGAUCAAUCCUGGAGAUGUGGAUAAAAUCUUGUUGGGAAUAUUUACACUUUUGAGAUGAUAACAAUGAUCUAAACAUAAACAACUGAGCUUGCUGAGGAAUAUCGAAGAGUGAACUUUAAUCAACUUUUGACAAUAACUCAGAAUUAGUUCUUCAAUAUUCGGUGACAGAGAAAGGUCUGGUAUUCUAGUAAGUUUCAGAGAAUGACUCAGGUUGAGCCUUUUCAAGUUGGGUAAAUUCUGCCACAAAAAGUAAAUGAAUCAGGUAACAAUGAAAAACUAAAAUAAAGUUUUAUGCAAUUUUAUCUAUUUUUCUUCGGUAAACUAUGAGCUACAUCAUCUAUCGAGUUUAUAUUUUACAUAAAACCACUGUUAAAAAAAUCACACUGUUAACUAACAAAAUUAUGGUCACUAUAAAUUUUAUAGUUAUUAUAAAAAUUCACAAAAUUUAACGUGUUUUUGUUCUCUACCUAAAAUUACAUCCUAAUAAUUUGAACCUAAGCUUAUUAUGUAUUGAAAAACUUACUAUAGUAAUUUAUAAUCCAUGACAAUGUCGAAAUACUUUAUACUAUGCAUGUUAAAAUUUGAUAAAAUGUCGAAAUACUGACAAAAUAAAAAUGGUGUUUUCCGAGAGUUAAAAUUAAACUUUAGUUAAAAUAAGUCCAUCUUUACAUAUUUUAUAAUUUGUUGUAUAUUAUAUUGAAGUUGAUGUUAUAAUAAAAAAAUGACUUAAUUAAUCGAAAAAUGUGGAGAAAACACAAAGAAAUUGCAAAUGCUUGUAUAAUUUAUUUUUAUCUUUGAAAGUUUAAAAGACAAAGGAACAUAGAUAACUUGAAAAACCUGAUCUCCUUCCCAGAGUUGUUCAAGACGGCAGCCUGGCAUUUCGAGGAUCACUAGAUUUUGUGGGCAAAAGUUUGGAGGCCAAAAUCUUUGCGGGAAAUCUCUCCAAUAAAGAAACUUUAGAGUGUCUGGCAGACCUACGAGAGAUGAUUCAAGAGACACAUUUGAUAUGUAUUCAGUUGAGUAGAGUAAAAACGUCCAAAGAUCAUCCAACUCUUUACGAGACACAUCUGAUAUGUAUUUAGUUUUAUUUUGCUCGUAUCUAGUAAUAUACACUGUAUUGCAUCUGACCCCUGAAAGUAAAUCAAUGUAAUUAGAAGAAAAAAACAUGAAAUGUUGCAUUGCAGGAUGUUUGAUGACAGCUCAGUGGUUUGCAAUUUUUCACAAAGUAAAUUAAUGACAGGUCAGUAGUUAUAUACCUUAUUCUUUCUUAAAACCUCACAAAUUUCCUCAGCAUUAAACAAUCGGCUGCGUUUUCCAGGAUGCUGAGGACACUCUUUACGAACAAUUUCUUUACCCAUUUCUUCUAUUAGAUCGUGCAUCACAAUUCUACCAUCAAUGACAGAUAUUAGGCCCCUAUCUUUCAGAAUAUCCAUUCCAAUCUUAGAAGAGAAACCAAAGUCAUCAAGUCUUUCUGCUACCUCAAUCUCCUCGUGACCUCUAUAAAAGCAAGCUAUGUCAAGAAAUAUAUUCUUCUCCUCCUCCUCCAGCCCAUCAUAACUUAAUUUUAAUACAUUGAAAAUACCAAGAUGUUGGCCCUUUUUCAACUUUUGCAACUCACUCUCCCAUGCUUCUCUUGUUCUGCCAUAAAGCAAUGACCCCAAAAUCUGGAGAGCUAACGGAAUCCCUUUUGCAUAUCUCAACACCUUUUCUGACAGGUCCAUGUAAGAUUUUUCUGCUGAAGAUUUUUGUUUAAAAGCAUGUAAACUAAAAAGUUUAUGAGAAUCAUCAAAAUUCAACUCCUUAACCUCGUAGAUAUCAUCAGCUCCAGCAUUUCUAAGCACUUGUCUGUCUCUACUGGUCAUAAUGAUUCUACUGCCCUGCCCAAAACUACCACUCCCUCCUAUUAAUUUUUUAAGUAUAGCUGAAUCGGUAACAUCAUCAAGAAUGAGGAUAGCCUUUGUCCGUUUGAGCCUUUCAUUGUAAUAUGAUAAAUCAGGGGAUUUCUUUAUCUCUUCCUUUAGAAGCACAGACAGAUAUUUUCUUCUGAUACUGUCUAUUCCAUCUCUUUGUAUUUUUUCUUGAACGUCUAAAACAAGGCUGCUGGAAUCAAACUGCACUGCCAAUUUCUGAUAUAUUUGAUUACAAAUUGUAGUUUUUCCUAUUCCUCCCAUGCCACAAAUUCCUAUGAUCCGAACAUCCGUUGACUCAAGAUGCAACAAGGACUGAAUUCCUUCAAUAUUUUUUUCAAUGCCGAUGAUUCCUUGAUCAUAACUGGUGGAAUAACGAUUCAAUUUUCUCAAAAUAUCUUCCACAAUUUCUUCAACAAGUGCGUGUUCUGGCCUGGCAGAUGAUUUAGAAAAUAAAGUAUAAGUAUUCAAGCACAAAAGCUAAAGUAAACUAAAGAAAAAUUUUACAGUAACCGUUUGUGACUUCUGAUACUAGGGAGCAGACUUGUAGGUACAAAGUUAAACUAUAAGAUCAGAUAUGGUUCAGAUCCAUGACCGACUAAGAGAAAUGAAAAAAGAAACACUUGAUUUAUGGUGAGAUGAACACAAUUUUAGUAAAUGAAAAGAGAUCCUGAUUAUCUAACAAAUAUAAUGACCUGGUGACUUUUGAAUCCCAGCCUGCAAGUUUAGCAGCUUCAGUUAGAGCAUCCUUCCAUCCUUGCACUUUAUCGUGCUUAAGGUGCUGCUCAUGCUUUUCGAAUGCUUCAUUGUAUCUUUGUUCCUGCUUCCUAAUAGUUGAUGGAUCCACCUUGUAGAAAACAGGUAUGACAUCCCUUCCAAAUCUCUUCUUGCAUUCAAGUAUCUUAGUGAGUUCAUUCAAGCACCAAGUGGAAGAUGCAUAGUCUUGGGAGAAAACGAUGACAUAAAUCUUUGAUUCUUCUAUUGCAGAGAGGAGAGCAGGUGAAAUUUCUUCGCCCCUGUUUAAUCUGUAAUCAAUAUACGCUUCAAUGUUCUUCCUCUGCAGCGCUGCAUAAAGGUGACUAAUGAAGUUGUCACGUGUGUCUUCCCCUCUGAAGCUGAGAAACACAUCAUGCUUUGUUAGAGAAGUAGACACGGGGAAUGAUGAAGAACUUCCUGACAUUGGAAUCAAUUUUCUCUCCUUUCUCUGCAAAUCUCAGAUUCCUUUGUUUGUACCAUUUCUACCUGAAGAAGUGUUUAAAUUUUCUCAAAAUACCUUGCACAGCGUGUUCUGGUCAGACAUAAAGAAAAAGACAAAUAUUAAGUUAAUAGAAUAGUCAACAAUUUAAAAAAUAAGUAUGAAAUAUAGAUAUAUAUCAUUAUCACGUGUGGAAGCUACGUCGUCUUGUAUUGGAUUUUCUAAUCUGCCUUUUAUCUUGUCUCAUUCUUCUUUAUCUUUUUUCUCUCAUCUCUCUUGCUUACGAUUUCUUUGCCUUUAUUCAGAAAUUUUAUUUAUAAUAAACCUUCAAUAAUAUUUGUACUUUCUAGCAUAUAGAAUACUUAAUGGAUCCUUUUCUGAUUUUUCUUUUCUAAAGUGCAAUUGAUAUUUUAAAUGUUUUUCUAUUUAAUUUUCCUUUCUUAAUGACACAUAAAAUGGUUCAGUGCACAAUUAAUUACUCUCACCUUAGAUUUCAUUCAUCUCAUUCCAUUUCCACACUCAAAUCAUUCUCACAUUUGUUUCUACCUGUUUCACAAAGUUUUAGUUAAAAUAUGGAAAUUAAUGUUCAAGAACCCUACUUAAUAUUAAUAUUCAACAAUUUAAAAUAUUAAAAUGCAAAUUAAUCUUUCUUAAUAAUGUCAUUUUUAUGUAAAAAAUAAAAUGUAGUUUAGUCAUUUAUACUUAGAUGGAUAAAGAUGGUUUUAGAAAAAAAAAUGCAUUUUAUUUCAAAGGUUAUCUAAGCUCUGAACUCAUUUAUGAAUUAAUAAUAAUAAAUAAUAUGUAAUUGUAUUCCAAUACCAUAUAAUUUUUUUUAUUGGGUGCGUUUCUGAUGAAUUAAUUAAUGCACUCUAGGGACAAUGAUCGCUCUAGUAUUUGAUUUUUUUAUUUAUUUUAAUGUUGAAAUUAUAGCUAUUUAGUACAGAUACUAUUGACACCGACACAGAUACGACACAGACACAGAGAUACUUAAAAUCUCUAAAAUGUAAGAUACAGAGACAUUAAUCUAUAUAUUAUAUAAUUAUGAAUUAUAUAAAUUAACAAUAAAGACUUAUGUGCACAAGUAUUUUGGAGAUUAUUUUUUAAGCAGAAAUAUGUUUUUCAUGACUGUUUCACAAAGAUUUGUUUCUUAUUUUUAUAAUCAUAAUAACAAUUUAUACCAUAAAGUUUGAAUUUUAGAAAAUUAAUGUAUUUUUUCUUUUUAAAAUUCCGUUAGAAUCGUACUAAAAUUGUAAAAAAUCUAACAAAUACAUUUUGAAUUGGACAUUUCACAAAUACAUGUCCUACCAGUAUCAUACGAAUGUAAACAAAAUUCUUUCUUCAUAUGCCGCAUUCUUUUACUGUGAUAACUCAUUUCAACUCUCUCACAACUGAUUCGUAAUCUGUGGGAUGCAUUAAAGCCUUUUGCAGUUAAAUCAAUAGUAUAUGAUGAUGUGAAUGUUAUUUAUAUACUAAAUAUAAUCACAUAGUAACUUCAAAUUUGAUAAGGUACAACAUGUUACCAUAUCUCUUUUAAUUUCUUUUAUUUCAUUAUAUAUUUAGGUGUAUUUAAUUUCUUUUUAUUUCAUUGUGUAUUUAGGUGUAUUACGUAAAAUAUAUAAUUAAAAAGAAAGAAGAAUAAUGUUAUUUUUAAAUUUAAAGAAUGACAUAUAGAAAUAAACAAGCUAUUUUGAAAUUUUUAGAUUUUACAAAACAUUACAUUUUGAUUUUAAUAUUUAUAAAAUAUUUUUUAAUUUCAUAUUUAAAACACAACACUUAGUUGAGUGUGUUCCUUAGUUACUUACCAAAUAACAACAUACAUCUUAUCGGGUCUUUUUGCGACCCGACCCAAACUCAUCUCGAUCCUAGUAGGGUUCGCAUCAUCUUCAAUUGAGGAGUAGAUUUGUCAGGAGGAAAAUAAAUUGAUUUAUAAGAACAUGUGAAGUUGUUUAGAUUGAGGAAUAAUAGAUGGAUUUUGAUUAUGAUUUAUGGUAAGUUUAAAAAAAAUAGAUUUGUUUCUUUUAACAUUUUUUGUAUUAUAAUUAUUUGCUGGCUGAAUUGUUUUGAGUUAACAUGUUUUCUUGGGGUAUGAUAUUGUGAGGUUUUAUUACAUGCAGGUACGUGAAUAUUUUUUUUAUUCUAGUUGUAUAAAUCAGGAAAAAAUGUUUUUCACAAUAUAAUUAUAAUAACCGUUUAACAACCUAAAUAAUAAUAAAAUAUUAACUCAUAUUAUUUAAUUAAAUUAUUAAAUAAAAAGUAGUAAAACUGAUUGUAGGAUGGGAAUAUGAUUAUUUUUAACUGCUAGCUCCUCAUUAUUCUUUUAUAAUAAAAAACACACUAGUAGGUGUUGAAAAUCGUAAUAUAACAAACAAGUUUUGACACACGUAGGUUUGGCAAUUGUUUUAAUAGCUGAAAAUAGUAAAACAAUUUUUAAUUACCACAAACUGCAUCUUAAAUCAUAAAAAAUAGCAUUUUUUAGUUCAUAUAUAAUAACAUUUCCAUAAAUAAAUCUCCCGCCGCCAUUGAUAUUAAUCAUUAAUAAUUUUAGAUAAUAUUUUUUACUAUAAAACAUUUAAUUGAGAUUGAAUUUUUAAUUCACACUUUUUGGUCAAAGAAUAAUAUAUUUCAUUUUUUUAUUUAUUAAAUAUUUUGUAUAAUGCUGAGAAAAAAAAAUCUCACACACACACACACAUAUAUAUAUAUAUGAUCCCUAUGUCCUACAAGUACAAUAUAACAUCGUUAGUAUAAUGAAUAAAAAUAAUGAGUAUUCAAAGUCGUGUAUUUACGUAAAAGAAUAACAUGAUUUUUAAAAGAACUCACAUUAUCAGUUUAAAUUUUGACGAUAAAAUACAUUAAUUAUAUAUAUUUAUUCAAAAUUUCAAUUAUAUUAUGCAUUAAUGGUUUUAUGCUUUUAGAGGAAUCAGAGAAACUUAGAAAAGCUUAAUGAAACCCUAUGAAUAAAGGAGAUGUAAAAGAAAGAGAAAAAGGAAGUGAGAAAAGAUGAUAAUUAAUAAACACCCACUCUUCAUAACAUAGAGUCUUUAAACCUAUAUUCCCUCAAACAGCAUUUAUAAGUUAUUAUCACCCACAUGGAAUAAGGUGCCUCAAUGUGAACAAACCAAGAUCAGUAAGAAAUAUGAGGUUCAAAUAACGAAGCUGAGAAUUUUCUGGUUUUACAGCUCCAUGCACAAACCUAAUACAAUGAUAUGAUAUUCCAUAGGAUGGAGAAAAGUAUGAUAUGAAGAGGAUUUACCAAUUACCCUUUCGAAUGCAGCUCCUCAGGAUUCCAUCAUGCCUUCACUGCACAUGCAACCCAAAUAUGCUAAAGAAGUUAAUCAAACCCAAAUAUAAAGAAUUUCUAGAGAAUGCAACUCUGGGACAACAGAGUACCCCAUCUCAAGCUGAACAGAAACAUUAAACUAUAUCUAACAAUAACUUAGAAAUCUUUGUCAACAAUGAACGAAUCCAACCGUAAAAUGCCAUUGAAAAUGUAAAUAAAACAAAAUAAAUUAGAUAUGAGAAAUUCAUGAUAAAAUUUCAACACUUGUAAUGUAGAAGCAUUACGAUAAGCCAGUUUUGAUCCUCACCAAUGAAAGUCUAAUUAGCAGAAGAGGAAGAGACUAGUUGACUGGGUAGCUUUCUGCAAUGCCUAUUUUAAGGUUACGCUUCCGGCAAAAAUAUAAUAGAAGACUGCUCUCAUGUCAAAGUUUCUCAUACAUAGAACAACCCGCAAAAGAGAUUAAACAUUCCAAAAGAUGUCUCAACAGAAAUGAAAUGAGAUCCUAACAACUUGUUGGGAAAGUACUAUUUUGCCUUCAAUUCCAUUACUUCCUUUUGCCUUUAAGAGUGCAGUCAUAAUCAUCAAAAUACUUAGACUUUGUGAUAUGUCUUUUGGGCUUGCUAUUCAUCUUUUGUUGCCUCCUCUUGAGCCAUAACACUUUUGGCCUUCCUCUUCCUAUAUUCCCUUGUGUCUCUUGAAGACUGUGCAACAUUACUUCGACUGGAUUAUUCAAUGUGAACAGCACCACCAUAUUCAUCAUCUUUCUUUUUGGAAUAAAGAGGGCAUAUGCCGCAUUCUUUUACUCUGAUAUCGGGCCACCAAUGGCUGAUCUCAAAAGUGAAGCUGCGAGCAUCACAGAGCCUAAGGCUCAUGCCGCUUGCCCUUAGGGACUCCAAGUUAAAUUUCCACACAAAUGUGUGAUCUUUAUCAAGAAAUCUGCCUGCAUCCGUCAAGUUUAACACAUCAUUAUUUGGAAUGAUCUGUGUGCCAUCAUCAUCAGAUUCAAAUUUUAGGCUGUAACCAAAAGAACUAUAUCUACCUUUAAUAUCAUUCGUAUCUAACACUUCAAAAACCACGCACAAAGAGAAACCAGUGAGCCUAUUAUCGCUGCAAAAACUUAAAUCUUCAUUUAUAGUCACUGAAUGUCCCUUCCCACGAAAAUGGAACCAACCAGGAACUGCACUCCCUGGAUAACAGAAGAACACAGACCUAUAUGCAUCGUCGGUCAUCCUAAGCCUUGCAUCCUUCUCAAUGUUAGCACGACCACCUGAAUCCAGUUGUUGAGCAUUGGUGAAAUGAAAUUUGAAUACACCCUCUUUGGAAUUUGAGAGGUUCCGAACAAGAGAAUUUGACAUCACUUUUCUAAUGGAUGGGCAAUCCAAUGCCACGAGUUGUUUUAGAAAUGGUGGAAUCGGUGGGAUGCAUUCAAGCUUUUUGCAGUCGCUUAAAUCAAGCGAUUUCAAGCUCGAAAGAUGAGCAAUGCUCUCAGGAAGGUUCACGAUUCCGCUAUCACGCAGUGACAGUUCCAUUAAUGACGUCAAACGACCAAUGUGCCUUGGGAUUUCUGUUAAUUUGGCACACCCCGAACAAUCAAGUUUAGAGAGAAGCUUCAGAUUAACAAUGCAGUUUGGAAGUGACUCGAGAUCAGUGCAUUUGCGGAGCUCCAGGGAACGAAGAUUAACGAAAUUGGCAAAUGAGGAAGGCAGUUCUUUAACAGUCGUAGAUGUUAAGUUAAUGUGAGCAAAAGUAUGAGCCGACUCCGUGAUCUCUGGGAAGGUCCUCAGCCUUGAGCAACCACGCAAAUCAAGGUUCCUCAACUUCAAAUUGAAAAUGGUGCUUGGAAAAGUUUGAAGUGAAUUACAGUGGGCAAGGUCUAACUUGCAUAGUCUGGUGAGGCUUCCAAUGGAAGAUGGAAUAAUCUCAAGAUUGAAGCAACUGUGCAAACUCAGUUGUUGAAGCCCUACCAAACGGCACAAGGAUGAAGGUAGUGCCUGUAUGGCUGUGUCGUCUAAGAUGAGCACCGCUAGAUCUUCCAACGUGUCCUGAAUCUCGGGUAAAUUUUCCAGUUUUGAGCAACCACUGAGACAAAGUUGCUUUAGGAAUUUCAUAUCAGAAAGGUCAAACGGAAAGAUUGUAAGGGAAGAACAGUCAGAGAGAUCUAAGUAACAGAGGUUCUUGAGACUUUGAAAGUUUAAGGGCACACCUUCCAAGAGACUGUUGAACACCUCUGAGUCUUCUGAGUCUGUAGCAUUAUUAGCCACUUCUAUAUUAUAUCUGUCAAAAGUAAUUGACAAAAUUUCACUGCUUGGGGAAAUUUCACUGGAAGUUGGGAAAUUUAUCUCUUUCGUCAUAUCCAGUUCCUGACGCUCCAGUAUGACAUGAGGGAGAAAUUUAUCUUCAUGUUUACUGAUUGAAAACAUAUUAAGCUUCCGACAAUGGGAAAGAGUAAUCCAUCCUGGUGAUGUGGAUAAAAUGUUGCUCGGAAUAUUUACACUAUUCAGAUCAUCACAAUGAUCUAAACAUAAACAACUGAGUUUGCUGAGGAAUAUCGAAGAGUGAAUUUCAAUCAACUUUUUACAAUAACUCAGAAUUAUUUUUUCAAUAUUUGGUGACAUAGAAAGGUCUGGUAUUCUAGCAAGUUUCCAAGAACGUGUCAGGUCGAGCCUUUUCAAGUUGGGUAAAUUCUGCCACAAAAAGUAAAUGAAUCAGGUAACAAAUAAUAACUACUUUAUCUAUUUUUCUUCCUAUUUAAACUAUUAGCUACUACUAUUGAGUUUAUAUUUUACAUUACUUAAAAACCACUGUUAAAAAAGCCACACUGUGGACUAACAAAAUUAUAUUUUAAAAUAUUAUUAAAGAUAAAAUAUGAAGAUAGGGUAAUUAAAUUAAAUAUAAUUUUUAUUUUUCAGAAAUGAUGAAAAUUAUAAUUAAAUUAACUAAAUUAUAUAAAAUUCCAUUUUAUUUACAUAACUCCUUUUCAUAUUAAAAAACUAUAUAAGAUCUUGAAACUAUAAUUAAUAUCUUAAAAAUUUAAAUAAUAAUAAUUAUUUCUACUCAUCCUUAAUUUUUGUUGGUGAAAUCUUGAUUUUUGGGAUAAUAUCACUUAAACUUAAGAAAUAUUUGACAUUAAUGAACUCUAAACAAAUUUAUAUAAGAAAUCAAGACAUCACUUUCAAUCCGAAAUCUUAAACUAAUAGGUUUAUGGAUUUUCUUUAUAUGUUGUUCAUCUUACCAAUUUGAACCCAAUGCGAGACUUUCAACUCUAAGAGAUGAAGUGGUGUACUUUAUGCUUCUAGGACUUGUUAGAUAUUGAAACAUGUACCAUUGCUAAAAUGUUUGAAUGAAGGAGAAGUCAAAGUCUCUCUCCUUUAGAGAUAUUCGCUCAAGUGGCAAGAGGUUGAUUAAGCAAGAGAGAGAUCGUAUUAAUUCUCUCUUCUAUGCAAUUGUUGUCGUUCAAACAAUGUGGAAUCAUUCAAGCAAAGAAAUCUUCUUUUGGGUUAGGAAACAAGGUUUUUCAAGCGAGAUAAACUCGUCUAAAGAAUUUAACUCUAGUAGUGAAAUGUUGUUGCCAUGAUUUAGCCAAGUGUUUGUAUCUAUGAGGCUAAUGAUGAUGAUGACGAUGAUAAGAUGCAUGAAUGUGUAUACACAAGUGUAUGAUAUACCUCAUGUUAUAUAUUGUAUGUGAUUCAAUUGAUGACCAUUUAUUUUUAGGCCAUUUAUAUGUAUAUUUUGGCCCUUUUAUGAGUAUGUGACGAGAUAUACCUAAGAUUGUAUUAUGAUCCUAAUGAGUCGAAGUAUCAAACACAAAACUCAUUAUGGAAAAAAAAAGAUAUUUUGUGCAUCAGUUAUGAUAUGAUCACAACAAUUAAAGCAUGUGUGAACGGUUAAUAUUGUUCUUAAUAAGAAAACAAAUAAUAUUGUAUGUGACAUUAGAGAUGUCAAAUAGGUUUAGAAAAUUAUUAAGUUUAAUUAUCUUUUUAGUCUUUAUAUUAAUGACCAAAAGUCAAUUCAGAUUUUUAGAAAGUUCAAUAUGAUUUAAUUUUUUAAAAAACAAUUCAAUGUGAUUCCUUCUAGUAUAUUUCCCUUAUUAAAAUAUUUUUAUCUUAAUGAUUCUGCCACUGUUAAGUUAUAUGUGUUGUUAUCACAUUGAAUUGUUUUAAAAAAAUUUGGAACCACCACAUUAAAUUGUUUUAAAAAGUUAGUACUAAAUUGAACUUUUGAAAAUUGGGAGAAUGAAAUUAAAUUUUGUCUAUUAAUACAGGGACAAAAAAUAAUUGAAUCAAAUAUUUUACUAUUUUUGUGAUGUAUAUUUAUAUAUAAAUAAUUUUGAGAAUUUAGAGUUACAAUGUGUUAUAUCAUAUAUAUAUAAUUCUUUUUGGUAAUGUAUCCUGUAGUUGUAAGCAAGUAUGAUUAUAUUAAGUGGGGCGUUUCAAAUAGUGGAGACUACGCAUAUACAAAUAUCUCUUAUAAAGUAAGAAAACAAAACAAUCGUUACUCAAGAAGAUCAUGCAAUGCAUCACAGACAACAUGGGAGAUAUAUAUCAACAAUAAUAUGAGUAAAUAAUACAUUCAUGGGCCAUUAGACGAUAUGCCUAAAAAAAAUAUGCAAACUAUUAAAUUUAUAAUUAUUUUUAAUUAGAAACAUGCUGAGUAUGACUCUUAUGAUAUAUGUAUAACUGUGUGCUUCAAAUAAAAGAAAUUUCAAAUCGAAUAAUGUGGAGAAGGCACAAAGGAAUUGCAAAUGAAAACCUGUAGAUGUAUAAUACACAAAACAUGCUUGUCUAAUUUAUUUUUAUCUUUGAAAGUUUAGAACACAAAGGAACAUAGAUAACUUGAAAAACCUGAUCUCCUUCCCAGAGUUGUUCAAGAUCGCAGUAUGGCAUUUCGAGGAUCACUAGAUUUUGUGGGCAAAAGUUUGGAGGCCAGAAUCUUUGAAGGAAACCGUUCCAAUAAAGAAACUUUAGAGUGUCCGGCAGACCUACAAGAGAUGAUUCAAGAGACACUUUUGAAUUCAAUCUAGGCAUGUAGACCAUAAGCAUCAUAAGAUUGUCCAUCUUUUCGAAACUUUGUGCAUGUACUACAGCAUCUUUUACUUUGUUCGUAUGAUAUUGAUAUACACUGUAUUGCAUCUGACCCCUGAAAGUAAAUCAAUGUAAUUAGAAAAAAAAACAUGAAAUGUUGCAUUUCAGGAUGCUUAAUGACAGCUCAGUAGUUUUCUAUUUUUCACAAAGUAACAACAGCAUAUACCUUGUUCUUUCUUAAAACCUCACAAAUUUCCUCAUCAUUAAACAAUCGGCUGCGUUUUCCAGGAUGCUGAGGACACUCUUUACGAACAAUUUCUUUACCCAUUUCUUGUAUUAGAUCGUGCAUCACAAUUCUACCAUCAAAGACAGAGAUUAGACCCCUAUCUUUGAGAAUAUCCAUUCCAAUCUUAGAAGAGAAACCACAGUCAUCAAGUGUUUCUGCUACCACAGUCUCCUCUUGCCCUCUAUAAAAGCAAGCUAUGUCAAGAAAUAUAUUCUUCUCCUCCUCCUUGAGCCCAUAAUAACUUAAUUUUAAUACGUCGAAAGUUCCAAGAUCUUGGCCGUUUUCCAACUUUUGCAACUGACUCUCCCAUGCUUCUCUUGUUCUGCCAUAAAGCAAUGACCCCAAAAUCUGGAGAGCUAACGGAAUUCCUUUUGCAUAUCUCAACACCUUUACUGACAGGUCCAUGUAAGCAAUUCCUUCUGAAGAUUUUUGUUUAAAAGCAUGUAAACUAAAAAGUUUCAGAGAAUCAUAAAAAUUCAACUCCUUAACUUCGUAGAUAUCAUCAGCUCCAGCAUUCUUAAGCACUUGUCUGUCUCUACUGGUCAUAAUGAUUCUACUGCCCUGCCCAAAACUAUCACUCCCACCUAUUAAUUUUUGAAGUUGAGUUGAAUCGGUAACAUCAUCAAGAAUGAGGAGAACCUUUGUCCGUUUGAGCCUUUCAUUGUAAUAUGGUAAAUAAGAGGAUUUCUCUUCCUUUAGAAGCUCAGACUGAUAUUUUGUUCUGAUACCGUCUAUUCCAUCUCUUUGUAUUUUUUCUUGAACGUCUAAAACAAGGCUGCUGGAAUCAAACUGCAAUGCCAAUUUCUGAUAUAUUUGAUCACAAAUUGUAGUUUUUCCUAUUCCUCCCAUGCCACAAAUUCCUAUGAUCCGAACAUCCGUUGACUCAAGAUGCAACAAGGACUGAAUUCCUUCAAUAUUUUUUUCAAUGCCGAUGAUUCCUUGAUCAUAACUGGCGGAAUAACGAUUCAAUUUUCUCAAAAUAUCUUCCACAAUUUCUUCAACAAGUGCGUGUUCUGGCCUGGCAGAUGAUUUAGAAAAUAAAGUAUAAGUAUUCAAGCACAAAAGCUAAAGUAAACUAAAGAAAAAUUUUACAGUAACCGUUUGUGACUUCUGAUACUAGGGAGCAUACUUGUAGGUACAAAGUUAAGCUAUUGUGUGAUAUGGUUCAGAUCUAUGACCGACUAAUAGAAAUGAAAAAAGAAGCACUUGAUUUAUGGUGAGAUGAACACAAUUUUAGUAAAUGAAAAGAGAUCCUGAUUAUCUAAUAAAUAUAAUGACCUGGUGACUUUUGAAUCCCAGCCUGCAAGUCCAGCAGCUUCGGUGAGAGCAUCCUUCCAUCCUUGCACUGUGUCGUGCUUAAAGUGCUGCUCAUGCUCAUUGAAUGCUUCUUUGUAUCUUUCUUCCUGCUUCCUAAUAGUUGAUGGAUCCACCUUGUAGAAAACAGGUAUCACAUCCCUUCCAUAUCUCUUCUUGCAAUCAAGUAUCUUAGUGAGUUCAUCCAAGCACCAUGUGGAAGAUGCAUAGUUUUUGGAGAAAACGAUGACAUAAAUCUUUGAUUCUUCUAUUGCAGAGAGGAGUACAGGUGAAAUUUCUUGGCCCCUGAGUAAUCUGUAAUCAAUAUAUGCUUGAAUGUUCUUCCUUUGCAGCGCUGCAUAAAGGUGACUAAUGAAGUUGUCACGUGUGUCUUCCCCUCUGAAGCUGAGAAACACAUCAUGCUUUGUUAAAGAAGCAGACAUGGCCAAUGAUGAAGGGUUUCAAUGUUCUCUGCAACUCUCAGAUCCCUUUGUUUGUAAGCAACUUCCAUAUAUUCUAUUAGGAAGGAAAAUAUAUAUUUCUACCAUUCCUACCACAAAUUGAAAAAGCCUUUCAAUUUUCUCAAAAUAUCUUUCACAGCUGUGUUCUGUCAGAUACGAAACAUUGAGUCAAUGGAAGAGUCAACAAUUGGCAGAAUAUUAUGGUGUGUAGCUUUAUACCAUUCUUACAAUAUUUGAUUGGUUGAAUAUAUACAAUAUGACUAAUGAACUUUUUUCUUUUCCGUAUUCCACGAUAAUUCCCUAGGCACCCUAUUAUACACUUUCUUAUCAACGGAAACCAUGUCUGUCCUUUUAUAGUUUUAAUCCUAUAAUAUCUUUCCAUUAAUCAUCAUUAUCACUCUUCAACCUUCAUAUCAAGUGUAUUGAUUUCAUACUUCAUCAGCUAGACAUAAUAAAAUCUCAAUAAUCUUUUAUACUGUCAACAUUUAUAAAAAAUAUUUCCUUCAAUAAUAUUUGUACUUUCUAGCAUAUAGAAUACUUAAUGGAUUCUUCUGUGAUUUUUCUUUCCUAAAGUACAAUUGAUAUUUUAACAGAUGCCGAAAGGUCUUGAAUAUGAGGCUGUUUCGAAAUGAAAAUUGGGGUAAAGCAUUUUCAAGUUAACAAGUUUUGUUGGGUGAGUGAGUGAUCAGUGCUAGCAUUUUCAAUCUCAGUUAUAGAAUGUAAAGAUUUACACAUUUAUUUGCUGAUUAAUAAUUUAUUUAUUGAAUUAAAUGUUUUAACAGUGAGUAUGGAUUCUUGAAUGAAUGUAAUCAUGGUGUAGAAUGUACAUAGUACAUAUAGUGAGUUGGAUUGAAAUGUUGAACACGUUUUCCUCUGCAAAGAUUCAGGAUAUUUAUGAACUUGCUAUAAAUUGUUUUAACUUUUCUCUGCAACUCUCAGUCCCUUUGUUUCUACCAUUUUGUUUUUGAAAAGCCUUUCAAUUUUCUCAAAAUAUCUUUCACUGCUGUGUUCUGUCAGAUACGAAACAUUGAGUCAAUGGAAGAGUCAACAAUUCGUAGAAUAUUAUAUUAUGGUGUCAAUAUUUAAUAAAUUUAUUUAUUUCUUUAACAUAUUUUAGAAAAUAACCAGUAAACAUAAAACUUUUAGUAUGACUAAAAGAAUAAAGAUAGUGUAAGAAUAACAGGAAUAACAUUACUACAAAUAACAAUAUAUUAAUAUUAAUAUGUUUCUUAAUAAAUUUUACACCCACUGUCUAUUUAUAAAUUAAUAUAUUAUAAACAUCUAUUGAUUUUUUGUGGGUAGCUUAUUUCUGUAACAUUUUAAAUUAAUUUUUUAGAUUUUACAAAACAUUACAUUUUGAUUAUAAUAUUUAGGACUGUGAUGCAAUUUCUGCAAUGAAGGCUGGCAGACUAAGUUUCUCCAAGCCCAAUUAAUACUGGGUUGAAAAUUCUGAGAAGAGGGUGAGUAUGAUGCUGCGGUCAUGAUCUAUGUAUUAAAGUGUUAAGGCAUGGGUUUGGUUGACAGGACAAUACUGGUUUUUCAUUGCUACUACUUAAUAUGAUUCUUUCUUACUGCUAUAUGAAUUUGCUGUCAAAUAGCAGUAAAUAAAAGACUUCAAAUAAAGCAUGUGUUUAUCAUACAUGGACUAAUGCAGCAGUUUUAGUAGAAGGGGCUAAUAUGAUUUUAAUCUAGAACAAGAUGGCUAAACCCAAAGAUGGUGGGAAUAAUAUCCUCAAAUCAAUUGUUUUGGUUUUCAGUGUAAUGUCAUUUGUAAGUAUCAAAAUUUGUUUGUUAUCACAUUGGAAGGUAGUAUCUGUCAUGAAAUUUGUGGAAGACCUUUACCUAUGUUUGCUUUGGGUCUGUUUUACGCCCUCUCGAAUUAAGUAAAUUUUUAAUUGCCAUCAUGAAAUUAGGCUAAAUAUGUGUAGUUUUGAGCACUUUCUUUCUUCCAUUUCAAUUCAUAGUUUCAUACAUAUUCAAUAUCAUGUGGGAAUUAAGUUCUUGCUUUUAAGGUGAAUAACAGUUUGUAUUCUUGCAGAAAACUAUUUUCUAAUGCAUAUAAAUUUCAUUUUCUAUUUUCAGCAUUGGAUUAUGUUAUGUAAUUUUUCCUUUGUAUUAUACAGAGUAGGAUUUUAAUGUUUCUACUGAACAGUGCUAUCUUUUUUCGUCCAUAUUCUGAUUUUGUUCAAUUUUUUUCAGUAUGUGCCACAUGCAGAUCAGAUGUAAGGAAUUUUCUAAAUUUUUUUUCAAGCUUUCUUGUUUGCUUAAAGUUUUCUGUAAGUAUUUAACUGUCUUAAGUUGUUAAUGAGGACUAAGGACUGAAAAAGAGAAUUAGCCAUGACAUGGUGGCAUUAUCCUUCUUCAAAACCAUUAGUUUUUUUUCCUACAAAGAUACAUGUCAAGAAAGCAAACCAGGAACAAAAGUGAUGUUUAUGAUUGCUUUCUCUCUUGUUUACUUGCUUUCUUUUUGUUGGACAAUUGUCUUAAUUGCAUUCACACCUAACCUGCAGUAGUUUCAGUCCCUUUGGGGUUGUCAUAAUUGCAGCCUCAAGAGUGGUGGUGUAGUCCAACAUCAACCAGUGAUAUAGUUCAAAUAUAGCAUAUACAUGAAAGUCGUGUUGAUAAUCAAAGGUUGCUUCAUCUUAACUAAUAACAUGUAAAUGUCAUUUGAAUGGUUAAAAAGGAAUUCACCAGUGUAACACAAAAUGAAUGGAUUGCUUGGUUAUGUGUCAACUGUUGUACUUUUUUUGAGUUGCUUGAAAAUAAUUAAAAUUUGUUUUCAUCUAGAUCUUGGUUUUUUCCUAUGAUCAAAUCUCGAUUUAUUUCUGUGCAGAACUUUCUUGUGGACAUAAAAGGACCAGCUAUAGCAUUUUUACCGGUGCUUGCAUUUGAAGGAGGAACUAGAAGAAAUAUACCUAGGUUUGAGGUGUGUAUAAAUUAUUUUUGAUGUAUUUCGUGAUGUAGAUGUAAAAUAAUGCAAUACUUUGUUUUUAGUUUCAAUGUUACUCUUUAUCUGCAGGUUGGAAACAUAUCUUGAUGAAAUAUAGAAACAUUUUUAUUCAUAAUAUAUAUAUAAGGAUUACACAUUCAUAAUUAUUUCUUUCUGUCGUAGCAUUGUCUACCUCAAAUCACUGCAACUUUCUGUUGUUGGUAUAAAAAUACAAUAUUUUAAUCCCAGUUUUGAUAGCCUCUAUUCUUCAGUGGUUGAGAUAUUUUUUAUAAGAAUUUAGAAGUUCUGAGAUAUUUAUGAUAAGAAUUUCAAGUUCUUUGUUACUAGCAGUUUAAUGGUUAUAUCAUUUUUGUUCUCUGGAAAAUAUCUUAUACAAAAUCGGUACUUAGAUUUGGUAUUUAUAUUGUUCAUAUGUAGAAAUCUAAUACUAGCAAAUUUUGUCUAAUUUAAAAGCAAUUACAUUCUACUCUUUGGAAUAUGUUCUGGCCUGCUUUUAUGAAUUAUUUGAAAAUUUGUAAUUAUAAAAUUUAGUCUUUGAAAUUAUAAAUUUAAUAGAGAAGCAUCCAUACUAAACUUUUAUAUUAUAAAUUGUCAGUUUUAUAUUGAAAACAUAUCCCCUUUAGUAUAAGACUUAAAGGAGAUGUCUUUUGGUAUAAAAACUGAAAUAAAAAAUAUUUUAACUAUAUGGGUCAAAUGGAUGAUUAAACUUAUAAAAUGUACAAUUAAACUUAUAAAUUAUAAUAAACGAUACUUUAAUUUUAAACUAUAUUGAACUUUUAUUAAUGUUCUCGCUUUUCUUUAAAAGCUAUUGAACUCUAUCUAACAAUAACUUAAAAAUGAGAAAUUCAUGAUAAAAUUUCAACACUUGUAAUCUAGAAGUAUUACGAUAAGCCAGAAGAGGAAGAGACUAGUUGACUGGGUAGCUUUCGGCGUUCCUCUUCCUAUCUUCCCCUGUUUCUCCUGAAGAGUGUGCAACAUUGCUUCCACUGAAUUCUUCAAUGUCAUUUUCUGAUGCAGAAUAGUCAACAGCACCACCAUAUUUAUCAUCUUUCUUUUUCGUAUAAAGAGGGCAUAUGCCGCAUUCUUUUAUUCUGAUACCUGAUUUCAACUCUCUCUCAACUGAUUCGUAAUCUGGCCGAUUUGGCCGCAGAAAGGGAUCAUACGGACUGAUCUCAAAAGUGAAGCUGCGAGCAUCACACAGCCUAAGGCUCAUGCCGCUCGCCAUUAGGGACUCCAAGUUAAAUUUCCACACGAAUGUCCCUUCACCAUCCCAUUUGAAAUAGCUAUUUAACACACCCUUAUAUGGAAUGAUCUGUGUGCCAUCAUCAUAUUCAAAUUUUAGGCUGUAACGAAAAGAACCAUAUCCACCUUUAAUAUCUAACACUCCAAAAGCUACACACAAAGCGAAACCAGUGAGCCUAUCAUCGCUGCAGAAACUUAAAUCUUCAUUUAUAGUCACUGAAUGUCCCUUCCCACGAAAAUUGAACCAACCAGGAACUGCACUCCCUGGAAAACAGAACAACACACACCUAUAUGUAUCGUCGAUCAUCCUAAGCCUUGCAUCCUCCUCGAUGUUAGCACGAGCACCUGAAUCCAGUUGUUGAGCAUUGGUGAAAUGAUAUUUGAAGACACCCUCUUUGGAAUUUGACAAGUUUGGAACAAGAGAAUUUGACAUCACUCUUCUAAUGGAUGGGCAAUCCAAUGCCUCGAGUUGUUCUAGAAAUGGUGGAAUCGGUGGAAUGCAUUCAAGCUUUUUGCAGUCGCUUAAAUCAAGUGAUUUCAGGCUUGAAAGAUGAGCAAUGCUCUCAGGAAGGUUCACGAUUCCGCUAUCACGCAGUGACAGUUCCAUUAAUGACGUCAAGCGACCGAUGUGUCUUGGGAUUUCUGUUAAUUUGGCACACCCCGAACAAUCAAGUUUAGAGAGAAGCUUCAUAUUAACAAUGGAGUUUGGAAGUGACUCGAGAUAAGUGCACUCUUGGAGUUCCAGGGAUCGAAGAUUAACCAAAUUGCCAAAUGAGGAAGGCAGUUCUUUAACAGCCGUACAUGUCAAGUCAAUAUGAGCAAAAGUAUGAGCCGGCUUCAUGAUCUCUGGGAAGGUCCUCAGCCUUGAGCAACCACCCAAAUCAAGCUUCCUCAAUUUCAAAUUGAAAAUGGUGCUUGGAAAAGUUUGAAGUGAAUUACAGUAGGUAAGGUGUAACUUGCAUAGUCUGGUGAGGCUUCCAAUGGAAGAUGGAAUAAUCUCAAGAUUCAAGCAACUGUGCGAACUCAGUUGUUGAAGCCCUACCAAACGGCACAAGGAUGAAAACUUAUUUUAUUUUUGCUGUUCAUGCAUAACAUUAACAAAUAUUGACAUGAGAGAUUGUGUUUGUAGGCUUCUAAGCUCACCAACGUGUCCCGUUCUUGAUGCUUUAGGGAAGAAAAUUUCCUUUGAGAUUGCAAAAGGACUCAGGAGAAUUUAGAAGUUCUGAGAUAUUUAUGAUAAGAAUUCAAGUUCUUUGUUACUAGCAGUUUAAUGGUUAUAUCAUUUUUGUUCUCUGGAAAAUAUCUGAUACAAAAUUGGUACUUAGAUUUGGUAUUUAUAUUGUUCAUAUGUAGAAAUCUAAUACUAUAGCAAAUUUUAUCUAAUUUAGAAGCAAUUAUAUUCUACUCUUUGGAAUAUGUUCUGGCCUGCUUUUAUGAUUGUAAUUAUAAAUUUAAUAGAGGAGAUUACCAAACAUCCAUACUAAUUAAACUUUUAUAUUAUAAAUUUUUUCAGUUUUAUAUUGAAAACAUAUCCCUUUAGUAUAAGACUUAAAGGAGAUGUCUUUUGGUAUAAAAACUGAAAUAAAAAAUCUUUUAACUAUAUGGGUCAAAUGGAUGAUUAAACUUAUAAAUGUACAAUUAAACUUAUAAAUUGUAAUAAACGAUACUUUAAUUUUAAACUCUAUUGAACUUUUUUUAAUGUUCUCGCUUUUCUUUUAAAUGCAUUUCACUUGUGUGUUUUGUAUUCAGGCUGAUUUUAACUUUAUUCUCAAAUAUACAAAAUAAUUUUUGGUAAUUAUCUUGUGUCGAUCUUGACUUGUAGUAUCAAUGUGAAAUAUGUAAUAAUUACUUUUCUAUGAUUCAGAGGGAAAAUUAUUCCAACUAGACUUUUACAAAUAUAUUUCAAGUGGUAAUAUGAUUUUAAAAAAAAUAGGAUUCGCCACAAAAAAAAGUUACUGUUCCUAAUUGACAUGGUGCUGUCAAAAUUAUUUAAUUACAAUUUAGAUCUUCACUCUACAUAUAAUUAAUUAAUUACCAAUUAUUUAAAAGACUAGUAAAUUAUAAUUUUAAUCUCUCUACAACUUUCUAAAUUUAGUUAUGAUUCUCUCAAAAAAAUUUCCCUUAAAUAUUAAUUAUAAUUACCUUUAGACAGAAACAUUUCUAAUUUAAACAAGCAAAAAUAAGAAAAAAAAAUAGAUUACAAAAACUAAAUUUGAAUUUUUUUAUAUAACUCCAAAUAUAUUUUAUCCAUAAAUAAAUUCUAUUAAUAUUUCAUUUCUGUUUAAAUAGUUUAUUCAUAUUUGUAAUAUUAUUUUCAAAAAACAAUAAUUGUUUUUUGAAUAAAGGUUUACAAAUUCUAUAAUAAUGUAAAUGAGAAGAGGAGUGAGGGUAAAAAUAUGAGAACCUAUGUGAGGGAAUCUUGUGACAAUUUAGCUGGUGUUCAACUUGUGAGAAGUCUUUCAACUUGGUUUUCAAGUUUUAUAUUCAAUUUCUGUUCCUUCAAAUGUUUCUGAUUUUACAGCUCCUCAGGAUUUUACAGCUCCAUGCACAAACCUAAUACAAUGAUAUGAUAUUCAAUCAGCAUUAAUUAGCAUAAACAGGUACCUUGUUGUAAAACUGGGAAUAUGAGAUUCCAUAGGAUGGAGAAAAGUAUGAAGAGGAAUUACCAAUCACCAUUUACCAAUCAUAAUGCCUUCACUACAAAUGCAACCCAAAUAUGCUAAAGAAGUUAAUGAAACUAUAUAUGAAGAGUUUCAAGAAGAUGCAACUCUGGGACAACAGAGCAACCCAUCUCAUGCUGAACACAAACAUCAAACUACAUCUAACAAUAAUUCAGAAAUCUUAAUCAACAAUUGAGCGAACCCACUCCUAAAAUGCCAUUGAGAAUGUAAAUAAAUCAAAAUACAUUAAAAACGAGAAAUUCUUAAUAAAAAUUCAACGUGUUGAACCUUGUAAUUUAGAAGUAUUAACGAGAAGCCAGUUUAGAUCCUCACCAAUGAAAGACUAUUUUACAGGUUAGCUUCCACUGGAUUCUUCAAUGUGAACAGCACCACCAUAUUUAUCAUCUUUCUUUUUGGAAUAAAGAGGGCAUAUGCCGCAUUCUUUUAUUGUCACAACUGACCACCCAAAGUCAUAAAGAGGACUGAUCUCAAAAGUGAAGCUGCGAGCAUCACACAGCCUAGGGCUUAGGGAUUCUAAGUUAAAUUUCCAGACGAAUGUGUGAUCUUUAUCAACAAAACUGUAUUCACCAUUCCAUUUGAAAUGUCUGUUUAACCUAUCAUUAUUUGGAAUGAUAUGUGUGCCAUCAUCAUCAGAUUCAAAUUUUAGGCUGUAACCAAAAGAACCAUAUCUACCUUUAACAGAAUUCGUAUCUAACACUCCAAAAACCACACACAAAGCGAAACCAGUGAGCCUAUCAUCGCUGCAGAAACUUAAAUCUUCAUUUAUAGUCACUGAAUGUCCCUUCCCACGAAAAUGGAACCAACCAGGAACUGUACUCCCUGGAAAACAGAAGAACACAGACCUAUAUCUAUCAUCGGUCAUCCUAAGCCUUGCAUCCUCCUCAAUGUUAGCACGACCACCUGAAUCCAGUUGUUGAGCAUUGGUGAAACGAAAUUUGAAGACACCCUCUUUGGAAUUUGACAAGUUUUGAACAAGAGAAUUUGGCAUCACUCUUCUAAUGGAUGGGCAAUCCAAUGCCACGAGUUGUUUUAGAAAUGGUGGAAUCUGUGGGAUGCAUUCAAGCUUUUUGCAGUCGCUUAAAUCAAGCGAUUUCAAGCUUGAAAGAUGAGCAAUGCUCUCAGGAAGGUUCACGAUUCCGCUAUCACGCAGUGACAGUUUCACUAAUGACGUCAAGCGACCGAUGUGUCUUGGGAUUUUUGUUAAUUUGGCACACCCCGAACAAUCAAGUUUAGAGAGUAGCUUCAGACUAACAAUGGAGUUUGGAAGUGACUCGAGAUCAGUGCAUUUGCGGAGCUCCAGGGAUCGAAGAUUAACGAAAUUGGCAAAUGAGGAAGGCAGUACUUUAACAGCCGUAUAUGAUAAGUCAAUGCGAGCAAAAGUAGGAGCCCGCUCCGUGAUAUCUGGGAAGGUACUCAGGCUUGAGCAACCACACAAAUCAAGCUUGCUCAAUUUCAAAUUGAAAAUGCUGCUUGGAAAAGUCUGAAGUGAAUUACAGCGGGUGAGGUGUAACUUGCAUAGUCUGGUGAGGCUUCCAAUGGAAGAUGGAAUAAUCUGAAGAUUGAAGCAACUGCGCAAACUCAGUUCUUCAAGCCCUAUCAAACGGCACAAGGAUGAAGGUAGUGCCUGUAUGGCUGUGGCGUCUAAGAUGAGCACCGCUAGAUCUUCCAACGUGUCCUGAAUCUCGGGUAAAUUUUCCAAUUUUGAGCAACCACGGAGAGAAAGUUGAUUUAUGAAUUUCAUAUCAGAAAGGUCAAUUGGAAAGAUUGUAAGAGAAGAACAGUGAGAGAGAUCUAUGUGAGAGAGCUUCUUGCCACUAAAUUGUAAGGGCACACCUUCGUAGUCUUCUGAGUAUUCUGAGUCUGUAGCAUUAUUAGCAUUUAUCUCUUUCAUCAUAUCCGGUUCCUGACGCUCCAGUAUGACAUGAGGGAGAAAUUUAUCUUCAUGUUCACCCAAUGAAAACAUAUUAAGCUUCUCACAACCGGAAACACUAAUCCAUCCUGGUGAUGUGGAUAAAAUGUUGCUGGGAAUAUUUACACUUUUGAGAUUAGAACAAUGAUCUAAACAUAAACAACUGAGCUUGGUGAGGAAUAUCGAAGAGUGAACUUCAAUCAACUUUGAACAAUAACUCAGCUUUAUUUCUUCAAUAUUCGGUGACAGAGAAAGGUCUGGUAUUCUAGUAAGUUCCCAAGAUUUAACCAGGUCGAGCCUUUUCAAGUUGGGUAAAUUCUGCCAGAAAUAGUAAAUGAAUGAGGUAACAAAUAAAAACUACUUUAUCUAUUUUUCUUCCUAUUUAAACUAUUAGCUACUAUCUAUUGAGUUUAUAUUUUACAUUACUUAAAAACCACUGUUAAAAAAACCACACUGUGGACUAACAAAACUCUGCCUAUAAAUUUUAUAGUUAUUAUAAAAAAUCACAAAAUUUAACGUCUUUUUGUUCCCUACCUAAAAUUACAUCCUAAUCAUUUGAACCUAAACUUAUUAUGUAUUCAAAAACUUAUGAUAGUAAUUUAUAAUCGAUCACAAUGUCAAAAUACUUUAUAUUAUACAUGUAUCAACUCACAAAAUAAAUGGUGUUGUCUCAGAUUUAAAAUUAAACCUUAGUUAAAAAGUCCAUCUUUCCAUAAUUUAUUUUAUUAAAUACAUAAUUUGUAAUUUAUUGUAUAUUAUAUUCAAGUUUAUGUUAUGAUAAAAAAAGUAUCUAAGGCAUUUUUAAUUAAAUAAUAUAAAAUAAACAACAUGAACUCAAUUAAAUAAUAUAAAUUUUUUUGAAUACUCGAUGGAAUAAAAAAAUUAAUAAAACCCUCAAUUUGAAAAUAACCAAAUUUAUAAGAUACUUAAAACUUAAUUAAACCUACAAAUUUUCAUUAUAUGGAAUUAAAUAUUGUAAAGAUUUACCACAUAAGUUUCAUAAGUAGAAGGUUUAAACAUAAAAUUCUUCACGUUGGGAGUUUCUUUCCUCUAUCUUAUAAGUUUUCGUUGUUUCUUUAAUAUUUUUUAUAUGGCUUCUGUCAAUGUAAUUUUUUUUUUGGUUUUAAAAUAUUAUUAAAGAUAAAAUAUGAAGACAGGGUAAUUAAAUUAAAUAUAAUUUUUAUUUUUCAGAAAUGAUGAAAAUUAUAAUUAAAUUAACUAAAUUAUAUAAAAUUCCAUUUUAUUUACAUAACUCAUUUUCAUAUUAAAAAACUAUAUAAGAUCUUCCAAAGUAGAUAUAAUACAUUCACGGGCCAUUAGAUGAUAUGCCUAAAAAAAUAUGCAAACUAUUAAAUUUAUAAUUAUCUUUAAUUAGAAACAUGCUGAGUAUGACUCAAAUAAAAGAAAUUUCAAAUCGAAUAAUGUCGAGAAGGCACAAAGGAAUUGCAAAUGAAAACUUGUAUAUGUAUAAUACAGAAAACAUGCUUGUAUAAUUUAUUUUUAUCUUUGAAAGUUUAGAACACAAAGGAACAUAGAUAGCUUGAAAAACCUGAUCUCCUUCCCAGAGUUGUUCAAGAUGGCAGAAUGGCAUUUCGAGGGUCACUAGAUUUUGUGGGCAAAAGUUUGGAGGCCAAAAUCUUUGAGGGAAAUGUGUCCAAUAAAGAAUCUUUAGAGUGUCUGGCAUAUCCACAAGAGGUGAUUCAAAAGACACUUUUAAUUCCAAUCCCCACGUGUAGAGCCUAAGCACCCUAAGAUUGUUCAUCUUUUCGAAACUUUGUGCAUGUACUACAACUUCUUUUACUUUGAAAGUAGAUAGUGAUAUACACUCUAUUGAAGUAGAUAGUGAUAUACACUCUAUUGCAUCUGACCCCUGAAAGUAAAUCAUGAAAUGUUGCAUUGCAGGAUGUUUGAUGACAGCUCAGUGGUUUGCAAUUUUUCACAAAGUAAAUCCAUUCUCAAUUGAGUAACGACAUAAUACCUUGUUCUUUCUUAAAACCUCUCAAAUUUCCUCAGCAUUAAACAAUCGGCUGCGUUUUCCAGGAUGCUGAGGACACUCUUUACGAACAAUUUCUUUACCCAUUUCUUGUAUUAGAUCGUGCAUCACAAUUCUACCAUGAAAGACAGAUAUUAGGCCCCUAUCUUUGAGAAUAUCCAUUCCAAUCUUGGAAGAGAAACCACAGUCAGCAAGUAUUUCUGCUACCACAAUCUCUUGUGACCUAUAUAAAAGCAAGCUAUGUCAAGAAAUAUAUUCUUCUCCUCCUCCUCGAGCCCAUCAUAACUUAAUUUUAAUACAUUGAAAAUACCAAGAUGUUGGCCCUUUUCCAACUUUUGCAACUGACUCUCCCAUGCUUCUCUUGUUCUUCCAUAAAGCAAUGACCCCAAAAUCUGGAGAGCUAAUGGAAUCCCUUUUGCAUAUCUCAACACCUUUUCUGACAGUUCCCUGUAAGCAAUUUCUUCUGAAGAUUUUUGUUUAAAAGCAAGUAAACUAAAAAGUUUCUGAGAAUCAUCAAAAUUCAACUCCUUAACUUCGUAGAUAUCAUCAGCUCUAGCAUUCUUAAGCACUUGUUUGUCUCUACUGGUGAUAAUGAUUCUACUGCCCUGCCCAAAACUAUCACUCCCUCUUAUUAAUUUUUGAAGUUGAGCUGAAUCGGUAACAUCAGUUAGAAGUGGAACACGUUUGUAGAAGUGGAACACGUUAGUUGGUUAGUUGCCUUAAGAAGCGGAUCAUGUAUUUUUUCUUGAACGUCUAAAACAAGGCUGCUGGAAUCAAACUGCAAUUCCAAUUUGUGAUAUAUUUGAUCACAAAUUGUAGUUUUUCCUAUUCCUCCCAUGCCACAAAUGCCUAUGAUCCGAACAUCCGGUAAGUCAAGAUGCAACAAGGACUGAAUUCCUUCAAUAUUUUUUUCAAUGCCGAUGAUUCCUUGAUCAUAACUGAUGGAAUAACGAUUCAAUUUUCUCAAAAUAUCUCCCACAAUUCCUUCAACAAGUGUGUGUUCUGACCUGGCAGAUGAUUUAGAAAAUAAAGUAUAAGUAUUCAUGCACAAAAGCUAAAACAAAACUAAAGAAAAAUUCAGAGUCAAGAAGAGUGAACAUCAUUGAAUAGAUUCACAUAUUGAUUGUAGGACGUUAUCUUCGAAUAUUAGUGUGGUUGGUUUAGAAAUUGCAAAUCAAGAUCGCAGAAAUUCUACAGUAACCGGUAGUGACUUCUGAUACUAGGAAGCAGUCUUGUAGGUACAAAGUUAAGCUAUAAGAUGUGAUAUGGUUCAGAUCUAUGACCCACUACGAAAAAUGGAAAAAAGAAACACUUGAUUUAUGGUGAGAUGAACACAAUUUUAGUAAAUGAAAAGAGAUCCUGAUUAUCUAAUAAAUAUAAUGACCUGGUGACUUUUGAAUCCCAGCCUGAAAGUCCAGCAGCUUCGGUGAGAGCAUCCUUCCAUCCUUGCACUUUGUCGUGCUUAAAGUGCUGCUCAUGCUCAUCGAAUGCUUCUUUGUAUCUUUCUUCCUGCUUCCUAAUAGUUGACGGAUCCACCUUGUAGAAAACAGGUAUGACAUCCCUUCCAUAUCUCUUCUUGCAAUCAAGUAUCUUAGUGAGUUCAUUCAAGCACCAAGUGGAAGAUGCAUAGUUUUGGGAGAAAACGACGAUAUAAAUCUUCGAUUCUUCUAUUGCAGAGAGCAGUGCAGAUGAAAUUUCUUCGCCCCGGGGUAGUGUCUCAUCAAUAUAUGCUUCUAUGUUCUUCCUUUGCAGUGCUGGAUGAAGGUGGCUAAUGAAGUUGUCACGUGUGUCUUCCCCUCUGAAGCUGAGAAACACAUCAUGCUUUGUUAGAGAAGUGGACACGGGGAAUGAUGAAGAACUUCCUGUUUAAUUUCUUCGCCCCUGUUUAAUCUGUAAUCAAUAUAUGCUUCAAUGUUCUUCCUCUGCAGCGCUGCAUAAAGGUGACUAAUGAAGUUGUCACGUGUGUCUUCCCCUCUGAAGCUGAGAAACACAUCAUGCUUGGUUAGAGAAGCAGACAUGGCCAAUGAUGAAGGGUUUCAAUUUUCUCUGCAACUCUCAGAUCCCUUUGUUUGUAAGCAACUUGCAUAUAUUCUAUUUCUAUCACAAAUCAACUUUUGGAAAAGCCUUCAAUUCAAAAUAUGCUUCACAGCUUUAUAUUAACGUGCCUAGCUUUAUACCAUUCUUACGCAUUGGUAAAGAUUCUUCAAUAUCUUUACUCAAUUUGUUUCUUCAAUACCUUUUACACAUUCUUACGCAUUGGUAAAGAUUCUUCAAUAUCUUUACUCAAUUUGUUUCUUCAAUACCUUUUACAUAUAAAGAAUCGGAUUUGUUUAAUAUAUUUUAGAAAAUAACCAGUAAACAGAAAACUAGGUUAAUAUGACUAAAUGAAUAAAGAUAGUACUCAUAAAAAAUAUUUUAGAUUACAAGUGGUAUAACUAAAAUAAAAUAUUUUAUUUUUAAAAUAAAAUUUAUAAAUAAAUAAAAAAAUAUAAUUGUUUAGUUUUCGGUGUAAAACAAUAUUCAUUUUUAUAAAAAAAAAUCUUUUCUCUUUUAUUUUAUUUUUAUAUUUCUAAUUAGAGUAUUCUUGAGUUUGACAAUAGAAUCCUUUCUUUGGACUUUUGGAAUUAAAUAAAGAUGUUAAUUGAAAAAAAAAAUUGAAAUAGAAACUAAUUUAGAAACCAAAUUUCUUUUUAGUUUCUAAAAUGGUCUCUAAUUUAGUUACUAUUGCAACUAAUUGUUUUGGUUUCUAGAAAUUGGUUUCUAUUUCAUGAUUUUCUUGUAGUGUAUACUGAAGGUGUGCACCCCUAUGAAAUGUUUUUAUUUCUAGUUGAUGUGUGAUUUCCAAUAAUUAUAUAAAUUGAUUGUUAUAUGCAGUGUGAAGUUUAACCUUGAUUUUUACUUGAAAAAAUGGAUUUUAAUAUGAGGUAUGCAUGCUCUCAUACUCAAAUUCAAUAAGCGGAAUUUUCACAUGUCAAUAGAAUUUGAACCUGCAUAGUUUUGGGCACUCUCCACCUCAAAUUCGCUCAAUGUUUUUUCCUGCGUUUAAGCGAAAUUACAUGCAGAUUUUGGAGUACUUUCGGGCUUAAAAUUGCUCAAAGAAAUUUCCCUAUGGCAAGCAAAUUUAAGCUACAAUUGUUUGGGUGUUCUUUGCCUCAAAUUCGUUGCCUCAAAUUCGUUCAGCGAAGAUUUCUCUGGGCUUAAGCCCCAACUUCAUGGGCUCGAGCCAUUUUGACAACAUUUGUCAUCUUUGCUUAGAUAUCUUUUGGUUUGUUUUCUAUAGGUCAUGAAAUUGAAUUAAAUCUUUUGAAAUUUAACAUGUGUUUAAAAUAAGUAAAUCUAACAUUUAUAAUCAUGCAACAUGUGUUUAAUUUAUAAAAAAAAUAUAAAACAAAUACUCAUUAUAUAUUCAAUUGAUAUGUAAAAUUUUAAAUAUUAUGUGAUUAUUGUUGAUAUUUUGUAACGGUUUUAAAAAUAUAAACUUCUAUAUGAUUGAAUGAUAUAUUAUCGAUACAUAGUAAUUUCAAGUAAGGAAAUACUUUGUUAAGGAUAGUUAGGAUGUGUCUUGAUUAGUAAUACAUUUAGAAUAAGAUAUUUGACUCUAUUCACAUAUUAAGGUGGUGACAGUCAAAUGAGAUUUAUAUGAUUUGAUCUACAAUAUAAAAAAUCAUAAUCUAACAUGCCAUAUGAAUUAACCUUGUCAUAUUAGGUGAUUCUAUUAUGAUAUUCUUAUUCGCAUAGAUGUGUGAAUUUCACAAUGGGGUAUUAUAACAUGUGCAAAUUUUUUAGUCUAAAUCAAUGUACGAUUCUUUCAGAAAUAGGGUCAAGUGUACAUGUGGAUCUAAUUAGAUUUUUGACAUGAGUAAUAUGGAACACAAGUCAUUUAGAGACACUUAAUUGUUUAAUAUAUUAGGAAUGAAUGAAGUGUGAUUAUUCAUAUGAUUAUGAUUGAAUGAUUCAAAUAUAAAUUUUAAAAAUCAUUAACUUAGCCUAAUUUCUUGUUAGUAUCAUUUUUUUGUUAGUAUCGUUUUUUUUUUAGAUUUGUUAUGAUCGUGAGUUACAUGUGAACAUAUGAUGUUGUAUGUUAUAGGCCUCAAAAUUGAAAAUGAGAGAGUUUUUUCUUUUAAUUCUUUUGAUGUUUUAUUUUGAUGUAUAUAUUUGAUUAUGAUAUAAUAAUAUUACAAUGUAAAUGUUAUUUAUAUACUAUCACAUGGUAAAUUAAAAUUUAAUAAGGUAGUUAAGGAUGUUAUAAUUAUUCUUUUAAUUUAUUUUAUUUCACUGUAUAUUUAGGUGUAUUACGUAAAAUGUAUAGUUAAAAAAAAUAAUGUUAUUUUGAAAUUUAAGCUUUUGUUAAAAUUAUACCAUUUGAAAAGGAACACAGAACAAUCUUGACAAUUAUACUGACUUAGUACUUAUUUUAAUUUAUUAUAUUCAUGAGUAUUAUUUUUUUCUUAAACAUAAAUAUUGGAUAAAAAAUAUAAAUAACAUUUAUUUAUUUCAAAUUUAAAAAUCUUUAAAAUAAAUAUAAAUAAUAUUUUUAAUCAAGAUGUGUUUUUUAACAAUUUUUUUUAAUUUAAAAAUAAUUAAUUCGGACGAUGAUUAAAGAAAUAUUAACAAAUUAUUUCUGCGAUUAUAAUAAACCUUCAAUAAUUUUUGCACUUUCUAGCAUAUAGAAUAUGGAUCCUUUUGUGAUUUUUCUUUUCUAAAGUACAAUUGAUAUUUUAAAUGUUUUUCUAUUUAAUUUUCCUUUCUUAAUGCACAUAAAAAUUUCAGUGCACAAUUAUUACUCACCUUAAUUCAAAAUGGAAAUUAAAAUUCAAGAACCCUACUUAUAUAUUAAUAUUCAACGAUUUAAAAUAUUAGUAUGCAAAUUAAUCUUUCUUAAUAAUAUUUGUAACAAUUUUUAAUAAUUCAAUGUGAAAUAUGUAAUAAUUACUUUUCUAUGAUUCAGAGGGAAAAUUAUUCCAACUAGACUUUUACAAAUAUAUUUCAAGUGGUAAUAUGAUUUUAAACAAAAAUAGUAUUCUCCACAAAAAUAAAUAGUUACUGUUCCUAAUUAAACAAGUCACAUUCUUGAACAAAAUAUCAAAUAACAAGGAAUUAGACUAUGAAAUGAUGACCAAUUAUAUUAAACAACAUAACAUACAUUUCUCAAUGUACACAAGGUAUAAAUAAUACAAUAUCAUCCAAAACCUGUGUUCACUAUGUAAAUAAACCAUUUUUUUUGCCAUUACCUCUUUCAUGAUGAUGAUUUGUUUACUAGGGAUUGCAAUGAUAGGUCAUGAUCAAAACUUAGGCCUAAGACUAAAAAUAGAAUGAAAUGAGCAUGAAAAUAAAGAUAACUUUUGAGUGAGACACAUUCUUCCUUACAAGCAGCAAGUUCUUCCAGGUUAUCUUCUCUUCCUUCAACCGUAGCUGUGCAACCGCCUGUUGUUCAUUGCCACCAAUAUCUCUAGUGCCAAAACUAUGUUUUCCAAAAUUAGAGUUAUAUGGCUUUAUCUGUGAAGUCUUACCAGCCAUAAUGUUUUAUUUUACUGUUUUGUUGUAAUCAUGCCAAUAGAUAAAUCGUGGAUUUGUAAACCACGAAACACCAUUGAGUAUGCAAAUGGGUUGAAUGUGUUUUUGGAUAUUGCAUUUCAACAUGCUAAUGGUCCUGUAAUUAAGUGUCCAUGUGCAAAGUGUGGUUUCAAAAAGUGACAAACAAGGGAUGUAAUCCAAGAACACUUAACAUUUACAACUUUCCCUCAGAACUACAAAACUUGGUAUUUGCACGGUGAAAGACCAAGUGUAAUUGAGCCUAUGGUCACUACAAGUGUGCAUGUCAUUGAAGAUUUAUUUGAAUCUCAAAAUACAAUGGAAGACAUGUUGAAUGAUGCAUUCGAGUUUGCGGGACAUGAUGAGGAUACUGAAGUUGAUGGUUUGCAAACUAAUAUGGUGGGUGAUGAAGGAAUAUGAACUUUGAUGAAUUGAUGAGGGACAAUAAUGAACCCUUAUAUGAAGGUUGUACAAAGCAUUCGAAGUUAUCAUUCAUGUUGAAGUUGUACCAUAUCAAAUGCAUGAGUAGAAUGAGUGACAAAGCAAUGACCAUGAUUCUAGACUUGCUAAUGAACACAUUUGAACAUGCUAAGUUUCCUAACUUGUUUUAUGAGGCGAAGACUGUGAUUACCAAACUUGGACUUAAUUAUGUCAAAAUACCAGCUUGCCCAAAAGACUGAAUGCUAUAUUGGGGCGAAGACAAUGAAGGCUUAGAAGAAUGUAAACGGUUCAAAACGUCUAAGUGCAAAAAAAAAAAAAGAUAAGAAGCAAUUGCAUUACUUUCCAUUAAAACUGUGAUUGCAAAGAUUGUUUAUGAGUUCUAAGAUGAUUGAGUCUAUGACAAGGCAUGCAUCAAAGGAUAAUCAAGAUGGAUUGAUGAGGCAUCCUAGAGAUUCUGAGGCUUGCAAAUCAUUUUAUUGCAUCCAGAAUUUGUAAAUGACCAUUGAAAUGUACGAUUAGACUUAGCUGCUUAUGGCUUUAAUCCUUAUGAAAACAUGAGUAAAAACCAUAGUAUAUGACGAGUGGUUAUCAUCCCAACAAUCACCCUCCUUGGGAGUUAUGAAGCAAACAUCUUUUAUCCUCUACAUGAUAAUUUCUGGAAAACAAAUGGUAGAAAAUGACAUUGAUGUUUAUUUAAAACCACUUAUAAGCAAAUUGAAGGAGUUAAUAGUAUGAUCAUGUAAUUAUUAUUUAUAUACUAAAUAUUACGACAUAUAGUAAUUUAAAAUUUGAUAAGGUAGAUGAGGAUAUUAAAAUAUCUCUUUUAAUUUAUUUUAUUUUAUUGUAUAUUUAGGUGUAUUAUGUAAAAUAUAUAAUUAAAAAAAAUAAUGUUAUUUUAAAAUUUAAAGAAUCACGUAUAGAAAGAAACAUAUAACAAUCUUGACAAUUAUAUUCUGACUUAGAGAUACUUAUCUUAAUUUAUUAUAUUCAUGAGUAUUAUUUUUUUCUUAAACAUAGAUAUUGGAUAAAAAAUAUUAAUAAUAUUUAUUAUUUAAAUUUUAGAAAUAUUUAAAAUUAAAAUUAAAAUUAAAUAAUAUUUUUAAUUAAAAUAUGAAAAAAAUUCCUUAACAAUUUUUUUAAUUUCAAAAUAAUUAAUUCAGAGGAUGAUUGAAAAAAUAUUAACAAAUCAUUUCUGCGUUUAUAAUAAACCUUCAAUAAUAUUUGUACUUUCUAUCAUAUAGAAUACUUAAUGGAUCCUUUUGUGAUUUUUCUUUUCUAAAGUACAGUUGAUAUUUUAAAUGUUUUUCUAUUUAAUUUUCAUUUCUCAAUGACAAAUAAAAUGGUUCAGUGCACAAUUAAUUAUUCUCACCUUAGAUUUCAUUCAUCUCAUUCCAUUUCCACACUCAAAUCAUUCUCACAUUUUUUUCUACCUAUUUCACAAAGUUUUUGUUAAAAUAUGGAAAUUAAAGUUCAAGAACCCUACUUAUAUUUCAUAUUCAACAAUUUAAAAUAUUAAUAUGCAAAUUAAUAUUUCUUAAUAAUGUUAUUUUUAUGUAAAAAUUAAAAUGUAGUUUAGUCAUUCAUACUUAGAUGGAUAAAAAUGGUUUUAGAAAGAAAAAAAUAUGCAUUUUUUUGAAAGGUUAUCUAAACUCUAAACUCAUUGAUGAAUUAAUAAUAAUAAAUAAUAUGGAAUUCUAUACGAAUAGCAUAUAAAUGUUUUCUUGUUGAAACUGAUAAUUAAUUCAGUCUAGGGACAAUUAUCGCGGUAUUUGUUCUUUUAUUUUUAAUGUUUAAACAAUUAUAAAAUUCUGUUUUUAGAUAUUAAAAUGAUAGUUUUCAUUUACAGAUUAAAAUAUUACUUGUUUCUUUUAAGAUUUUUUGUAUUAUAAUUAUUUGUUGUCUGAAUUGUUUUGAUUUAACAUGUUGUUUUCUUGGGCUAUGAUAUUGUGAGGUUUUAUUACAUGCAGGUACGUGAAUAUUUUUUUUAUCCUAGUUGUAUAAAUCAGGAAAAUUGUUUUUCACAUUAUAAUAACCGUUUAACAACUCUAAAUAAUAAUAAAAUAUUAACUCAUAUUGUUUAAUUAAAGUAUAAAUUAAAUUAUUAAAUAAAAAAGUAGUAAAACUGGUUGCAGGAUGGGAAUAUGAUUAUUUUUAACUGCUAGCUCCUGAUUAUUCUUUUCUAAUAAAAAAAACACCAAUAGCAACAAAACAAGUUUUGACACACGUAGGUUUGGCAAUUGUUUUAAUAGCUGAAAAUAGUACAACAAUUUUUAAUUACCACAAACUGCAUCUUAAAUCAUAAAAAAUUAGCAUUUUGUUAGUUCAUAUAUAAUAAAAUUUCCAUAAAACAGCCAAUUGUAUUAAUUAUUAAUAAUGUAUUUACAAUUUUUUUAGAUAAUUUUUUUACUAUAAAGACAUUUAUUUGAGAUUGAAAUUGUAAUUAACACUUUUUGGUCAAAGAAUAAUAUAUUUCACUUGAUUUUUUGUAUUAAAUAUUUUGUAUAGCGCUGAGACAAAAAAAAAUCUCAUAUAAAUCCCUAUGUGCUACAAGUACAAUAUAACAUCCUUAAUGUAAGCAAUAAAAAUGAUGAAUACUCAAAGUCGUGUAAUUACGCAAAAGAAUCAAGUGAUUUUUAAAAGAACUCACAUGAUCAGUUUAAAUUUUGACGAUAAAAUACAUUAAUUAUAUAUAUUUAUUCAAAAUUUCAAUUAUAUUAUGCAUUAAUGGUUUUAUGCUUUUAGAGGAAUCAGAGAAACUUAGAAAAGCUCCUAAAAACUAAUGUAACCCUAUGAAUAGAAGAGAGCUAAAAGAAAGAGAAAAUGGAAGUGAGAAAAGAUGAUAAUUAAUAAACACGCUCUCUUCAUAACAUAGAGUCUUUAAACCUAUAUUCCCUCAAACAAUUAUAAAGAAUUAACAAUCACACUUUUAUAAGUCAUCACCCACAUGAAACAAAACAAGGUGCCUCAAUAUGAAUAAACCAAGAUUAAUAAGAAAUAUGAGGUUUCACUAACCAAGCUCAGAAUUUUCUGCUUUUAUAGCUCCAUGCACAAACCUAAUACAAUGAUAUGAUAUUCACUGCAAAUGCAACCCAAAUAUGCUAAAGAAGUUAAUGAAACCCAAAUAUAAAGAAUUUGAAGAGAAUGCAACUCUGGGACAACAGAGCACACCAUCUCAUGCUGAACAGAAACAUCAAACUAUAUCUAACAAUAACUAUACCUAUGUUUGCUUUGGGUCUGUUUUUAGUUUCAAUGUUACUCUUUAUCUGCAGGUUGGGAACAUAUCUUGAUGAAAUAUAGAAACAUUUUUAUUCAUAAUAUAUAUAAGGAUUACACAUUCAUAAUUAUUUCUUUCUGUCGUAGCAUUGUCUACCUCAAAUCACUGCAACUUUCUGUUGUUGGUAUUUGCAUAUCACGAUGGUUAUUGAGAAAUUUAGGAGUUUGCUGUUGUGUACCAGAAGUAAAAUAGAAGGUUCAUUUUUUGGUCAUCAUCAAUUAUUAAUGUAAAUAGAUAUAGGUGAAGGAGAUCAGUAUUAUGCAUUGUAUCAUGGACCAUUAGAAGACUAGGGUCACCAAUUGGAGGCAUUGGUAACUUUGGCUAGUAAAACUAAAACCAAAGUCCAUUUUUACAAAGCCUUGGUCUAAUUCACCUUAUAGCUGUACUUUUUCCUCCAUUUUAAUAAUAUUAAGUUUUCAUUUUCUAUGCAUAAUCUUGGGUAAUUUUCUUUUUAUAUCAAUGCUUGAAGUGUCAAAUUGUUACAAGCUGGAUUAUUAAGAAAGAAAAGAGUGCAUUCUGGAUGCUCGAAAGGGAGUGUUUCCUAGAAAAAAAAUGUGAUUUCAGGGUGUCCAGGCUCAGGUAGCAAUGGUAGGAGUUCCACAUUGAAAUGGAUGAACUACUUGAUUUAGUACUUUGGGACUCUCUCACCUAAUGGACUAGUAUUUUGGGUUAGCUUCUCUCCCCUUAAUGCUUAAGUCCUAAAAAACAGUUUUUCUGUUUCUAUUUAUCUUUUAGGGUGUGAUUAGGACCAUGAAGCAGUGGGUGUUUUUUCCAUUAAUGAACUUUGCCACUGCCACAGAUCACCUAGGUUAACCUAAUUAAGUCUUCUGAAUUGUAUUUUGUAAUUAAUUCUUGUAAAACAUGGAGUGUAAAAUUCAUGUACAUUUUUCUUUUCCUCUUUUGAUUUGGAUGUCAAACUAGCAACUUCAUGUUUUGUCUGGUUGGUCUAUCACAUUUAUGUAGGUUGUAAUCUAUUUUGCCUAAUGCAUCAGUUGCAGAUAGGUACUAAAUUAUCUUAGUUCGGAUACACCUUGCCAAUUAGAUUAAGAUCAAGAAUUUAAAGUGAAUGGUUCACUUCUGAGUUCUUAAAUGAGAUAAAAUGUUCAGAGAUACUAAAUCAUCGCCUUCAUUUGAAAAUUGGCGUGCCUAUUAUGCUUUUGAGAAAUAUUGAUCAAACCAACGGUCUUUGUAAUGGAACAAGGUUGCAAGUUAUUGAUUUGAAGAAAAUGUUAUUUGUGCAAUAGUUCUAACAGGAACAAAUAUUGGUGAUAAAAUCUUCAUUUCAAGAAUGAAUUUGAUCCCUUUAGAUGUAGGUAUGCCAUUCAAAUUCCAGAGAAGACAAUUUCCAAUAGCUUUAUGUUUUGCAAUGACAAUUAAGAAAAGCCAAGGUCAAUUAUUGACCAAAGUUGGUUUAUAUUUUUCACAUCCAAUUUUCACACAUCGAUAGUUGUAUGUAGCUAUUUAUAGAGUUCGAAAGAAAAAAGAUUUAAAAAUUCUAACUCUUGAUGAAGAUGGAAUGCAACAAACAAGAAAAAGAAAAUGUUUACACUGAAAUUUUUGACAAUAUUUGAAAACAAUAGAAUUAUAUGAUAAACUUGGAAUGGCUAAUUCUCCCUGCAACCAAUAUUUUUGAACCUGCAACUUUUAAAUUUUUGAAAAUGCUCUUUAUUCCAGAAAUGAAAAUAAUACAUUACAAAAAAAAUAGAUCCAAAAAAGAUUAUUGUGUUUUGGUAAUAAAAAUCGGAAAACAAAAAUCAAAAGCCCAUUAUGAAUAAGAAAAUUCGUAAUACAAAAAAUUUGGUCUUAAAAACAAAAUCUGAAAACAUAUUCCAGAAAGAAAAUCCGAAAUGUAUUUUUAUAUAUAACCCAUUUUUUCAAGGGAGUUUCGUCUUUUCUAUUGUAAAAGGGGUUGGAAUUUGCUCCCUUGGAAUUAUAGUUUCUUAUGUGUGAUGUAGUAACAGUUGCCUUAUUUAAAAUGUUACUAAAUAACAUAUAAUUUAUAUCUGUUAUUUUUAUUCUGUUAUGACUUUAUAUAUUUGUCACAACAUGAAUGAGGCACAAACCCAUCUCAUGUUAACGAAGUUGAGAAUUUUCUGAUUUUACAGGUCCAUGCAAAAAUCUAAUAUAAUGAUAUGAUAUUCAAUAUCAAGAGGUACUUGUCGUAAAACGGGGAAUAUGAGAGACUCCAUAGAAUGAAGAAAAAGUAUAAAGAGGAUUUACAAAUUAACCUUUCAAAUGCAGCUCCUCAGAAUUUCAUAAUGCCUUCACUGCAAAUGCAACCCAAAUAUGCUAAAGAAGUUAAUCAAACAAUACAUGAGGAGUUUCAAGAAAAUGCAACUCUGGAACAACAGAGCAACCCAUCUCAUGCUGAACAGAAACAUCAAACUAUAUCUAACUUAGAAAUCUUUGUCAACAAUUGAACGAACCCACUCCUUAAAUACCAUUGAAAAUGUAAAUAAAACAAAAUAAAUUAAAAACGAGAAAUUCAUAAUAAAAAUUAAACGUGUUGAACCCUGUAAUUUAGAAGUAUUAACGAUAAGGCAGUUUAGAUCCUCACCAAUGAAAGAGACUAGCUGACUAGGUAGCUUUCGGCCUUCCUCUUCCUAUCUUCCCUUGUUUCUCUUGAAGACUCUGCAAUAUUGCUUCCAUUGGAUUGUUCAAAGUCAACAGCACCACCAUAUUUAUCAUCUUUCUUUUUCGUAUAAAGAGGGCAUAUGCCGCAUUCCUUUAUUGUGAUACCUGAUUUCAACCGAAAGUGAUAAUCACACGGACUGAUAAGUGAAGCUGCGAGCAUCACAGAUUCUAAGGCUCAUGCCGCUCGCCCUUAGGAACUCCAAGUUAAAUUUCCACACGAAUGUGUGAUCUUGAUCAACACAUCUCUCUUCACCAUUCGAAAUAGCUGUUUAACACAUCUAUCAUCGCUGCAGAAACUUAAAUCUUCAUUUAUAGUCACUGAAUGUCCCUUCCCACGAAAAUGGAACCAACCAGGAACUGCAGUCCCUGGAAAACAGAAGAACACAGACCUAUAUCUAUCGUCGGUCAUCCUAAGCCUUGCAUCCUCCUCAAUGUUAGCACGACCACCUGAAUCCAGUUGCUGAGCAUUGGUGAAAUGAAAUUUGAAUACACCCUCUUUGGAAUUUGAGAGGUUUCGAACAAGAGAAUUUGGCAUCACUCUUCUAAUGGAUGGGCAAUCCAAUGCCACGAGUUGCUUUAGAAAUGGUGGAAUCUGUGGGAUGCAUUCAAGCUUUUUGCAGUCGCUUAAAUCAAGCGAUUUCAAGCUUGAAAGAUGAGCAAUGCUCUCAGGAAGGUUCACGAUUCCGCUAUCACGCAGUGAUAGUUCCAUUAAUAACGUCAAACGACCAAUGUGUCUUGGGAUUUCUGUUAAUUUGGAGCACCCCGAACAAUUUAGAGAGAAGCUUCAGAUUAACAAUGGAGUUUGAAAGUGACUCGAUAUCAGUGUAUUUCUGAAGCUCCAAGGAUCGAAGAUUAACGAAAUUGCAAAAUGAGGAAGGCAACUGCGCAAACUCAGUUGUUGAAGCCCUACCAAACGGCACAAGGAUGAAGGUAGUGCCUGUAUGGCUGUGGCGUCUAAGAUGAGCACCGCUAGAUCUUCCAACGUGUCCUGAAUCUGGGGUAAAUUUUCCAAUUUUGAGCAACCACGGAGAGAAAGUUGCUUUAGGAAUUUCAUAUCAGAAAGGUCAAAUGGAAAGAUUGUAAGGGAAGAACAGUAAGAGAGAUCUAAAUGACAGAGCUUCUUGCAACUAAAGUGUAAGGGCACACCUUUCAUGAAUUUUGUCAACACUUCUAAGUAUAUAGUAUUAUUAGCCACUUCUUCUUCUUCAUUAUAUCUGUCAAAAGUAAUUGAGGAAGUUGGGAAAAUAUGACCACUGUAUGCACGAGGUUCACCACGCCGUCCUGCACCAUGCCGUUCUGAGAAAUUUAUCUCUUUGAUCAUAUCCGGUUUCUGGCGAUGGAAUCUUGAGAAAGUUUGACGUUGACGCUCCACGCUCCAGUAUCACAUGAGGGAAUCUUGAGAAAUUUCCACGUUGAUGCCCCAGUUUCUGAUGUGGGUAUCUUGUGACGCUCCAGUUUCACAUGACGAAAUCUGGGUUCACUGGUUGAAAACAUAUUAAGCUUCCCACAACAGGAAAUAUUAAUCCAUCCUUGUAAUGUGGAUAAAAUGUUGCUGGGAAUAUUUAUACUAUUCAGAUCAUAACAAUUAUCUAAACAUAAAUAACUGAGCUUGCUGAGUAAUAUCGAAGAGUGAACUUUAAUCAACUUUCCACAAUAACUCAGAAUUAUUUCUUCAAUAUUUGGUAAGAGAGAAAAGUCUGGUAUUCUAGUAAGUUUCCGAGAACCACUCAGGUCAAGCCUUUUCAAGUUUGGUAAAUUCUGCCACAAAUAGUAAAUGAAUCAGGUAACAAAUAAAAACCACUGUUAAAAAAAUCACACUCUGAACUAACAAAACUGUGGCUAUUCACUAUCAACAAUCCCUCUCAAAUACACUUCUACUAAUACAUUAACAACAAUAUCAUUAUAUUAACCAUAAAAUAUUACAUUUCUUCAGUUAAUACGUAGGACAAUAUAAUAAUCAGGUCACUCAGCUAAUGAAAAAAAUUAAACAACAUGAACUCAAUUAAAUAAUAUAAAACUUUUGAGUACUAGAUAAAAUAAGAAAAUUAAUAAAAAUUCAAUUUGAAAAUAAUCAAAUUUAUAAGAUACUUAAAACUUAAUUAAACCUACAAAUUUUCAUUAUAUGGAGUUAAAUACUAUAAAUAUUUACCACAUAAGUAGAAUGUUUAAAUAUAUAUUUCUUCACGUUGGAAGUUUUUUUCCUCUAUCUUAUAAGUUUUCUUUGUUUCUUUAAUAUUUUUUAAGCCAAUGUGAUUUUUUUAAUAUAAAAUAUUAUUAAAGAUAAAAUAUGAAGAUAGGGUAAUUAAAUAUAAUUUUUUAUUUUUUAGAAAUGAUGAAAAUUAUAAUUAAAUUAACUAAAUUAUAUAAAAUUCUAUUUCAUUUACAUAACUACUUUUCAUAUUAAAAAAACUAUAUAAGAUCUUGAAACUAUAAUUAAUAUUUCUACUCAUUUUUCGUUUUUGUUGGUGAAAUCUUGAUUUUGGGAUAGUAUUAGUGAGAUAUUGUUUGGAGUUAAAAACAAGAAAUUCUUUUGCAUAAUCAAUUUGAACAGUUUUGAUUUUGAAACCAGAUUUUCAGAGAAGAGUUUAAAGCGUUCAAAUGCAGCAAGAGCUUGAGAUUUAGCAUGCUAGAGAUAAAUUCAUGUAUAUUUUAAAUAUGCAUUAGGAAAAGAGAUAUCGUAUGAUGCAACAUUAUUAGCACAAACAACAAACAGCAGAACGUCCCCAAAUAUCAAUAUAGAUAAAUUCUAAAAGGUGAUUAUCCACACUGUUUUAGAACAACUUUGAUUACAGAAAAACUAUAACGCCCAAGUCUAUUAUGCCACAAGUGAAAAGAAGUUUUUUCAUAUUUAAAAGAUGUGUAGUUAGCAGAAAAAACAGAGGAUCAGAGAUCAAGAAAGACAGAGAGAUCAUCUUUAAGUGUGCCUUGUAGAAGAAUCUGUUUAGUUACUUAGUCUUUAACAUAGCAAGAAUGAGGGUGAAAUUCAAAAAACACAUUGUUGUUACGAGCAAACUUUGAAACACUAAGCAAAUUCUUAGUAUAAUGAGAAACAUGUAAAAGAUCAAGGAGAGAGAAGGAAGUACAAGAGGUAGACGACACACAGGAAGCAGAACCAAUGUGGGAGAUUUUUAUACCUGCACCAUUACCAAGUUUAACGUUCGCAAUGCCAUGAUAGAUUUGUUGAUCAUUGAACAGAGUAUGGUCGUUUGUUAUAUGGUGAGAGACACCGCUAUCUGGGUACCAUAAUGGAUCUUCUAAAGAUGAUGGUGGACCAAGAAGAGAGUAAGAAGAGUCAUCACGUGGAGGUGGAGAGAAAUGAGAUGUGUUUGCAGAGGAGGAUGGUGGUGUAGUACGAUCAAACCAGUGCCAACAAUGAAGAGCAGUGUGUCCAAGUUUGGAGCAUAUUUGACAGCGAACAGGGUUGCGUUUCCAUGAUGAAGACGUAGUGGAGUUCCAAGAAGAGUAUUGGGAAGGUCGGGGUUUGCCGCGGUUGAACUGAUUCUAGUUAGAUGUGGGAUUGUAACCACGACCACCACAGGAGGAGUUGGAAAAGGGGAGGUGGAGAGAAAUGAGAUGUGUUUGCAGAGGAGGAUGGUGGUGUAGUACGAUCAAACCAGUGCCAACAACAAUGAAGAGCAGUGUGUCCAAGUUUGGAGCAUAUUUGAGAGCGAACAGGGUUGCGUUUCCAUGAUUACGACAGUAAUAAAUGUAUUAUAUUCUUCAGAUAGCCUUCAAGGAUGAUGUCAAUAUGAUCAGUGGAAACAGGGGCAUCAAUAGCGGCAAGCAUGUUGACGGCGUUCUUGAUAUCAUGGAGAUAGGAGGAGAUGGAUCUGUGAUGACCUGAUUUUGUUGUUGGUACCAUUAGAGACUUGGGGACUGUCAUCAGUGGUGGAAGAAGUGGUUCUUGAUGGAACACUAGUGUCGUCAAGAAAAUGACCCAGUUUGAGCCCGCAAAUGGAGGCAAGGACUUGAUGUUUCCAGAGAAGAUAGUUAUCUUCAUCUAGUUUAAGAGUGAUGGGUGUUGUGAACUGUUGAACGGAAGGCAUGACCAGAGGUAACGGGCAAGAAGAAGAUGCAAAAGAAGAUGAAGAGAUAUGAGUGCAGUGCAUUAGAAUAGAGAGAGAAAGGAGAAAGAUAUUAUCUUAGUAUAUGUGCUAAAGGUAUAUAAGGAGUGCAGAACUGGAAACACUUACAAAGUUGUCGUUACACAGUUAUAGUAUGGUUAACAAUGUAUAAUACAGAAAACAUGCUUGUGUACUUUAUUUUUAUCUUUGAAAGUUUAGAACACAGAGGAACAUAGAUAGCUAGAAAAACCUGAUCUCCUUCCCAGAGUUGUUCAAGAUGGCAGCCUGGCAUUUCCAGGGUCACAGUCUGGCAUUUCCAGGGUCACUAGAUUUUGUGGGCAAAAGUUUGGAGGCCAGAAUCUUUGAGGGAAACCGUUCCAAUAAAGAAACUUUAGAGUGUCUGGCAGACCUACAAGAGAUGAUUCAAGAGACACAUUUGAUAUGAAUAUAGGCAUGUAGACCAUAAGCAUCAUAAGAUUGUCCAUCUUUUCGAAACUUUGUGCAUGUACUACAGCAUCUUUUACUUUGUUCGUAUGUAGUAAUAUACACUGUAUUGCAUCUGACCCCUGAAAGUAAAUCAAUUUAAUUAGGAGAAAAAAAACAUGAAAUGUUGCAUUGCAGGAUGUUUAAUGACAUCUCAGUGGUUUGCAAUUUUUUACAAAGUAAAUCCAUUCUCAAUUGAGUAACGACAUAAUACCUUGUUCUUUCUUAAAACCUCUCAAAUUUCCUCAGCAUUAAACAAUCGGCUGCGUUUUCCAGGAUGCUGAGGACACUCUUUACGAACAAUUUCUUGACUCAUUUCUNNNNNNNNNNNNNNNNNNNNNNNNNNNNNNNNNNNNNNNNNNNNNNNNNNNNNNNNNNNNNNNNNNNNNNNNNNNNNNNNNNNNNNNNNNNNNNNNNNNNGAUCCAUCUUUUUCUGCUGCUACCAUGUCGAACUCCCUUCAAAUCAAUACAAUGUCUUCACCAUCAAUCAGCCAAGUGAUUAAUGUUAAACUCACACAAGAAAAUUAUUUAUUGUGGUCUGCUCAAAUCCUUCCCUAUUUACGUAGUCAGGGGCUGGUUGGGUUUGUGGAUGGAUCCAUGCCACCACCAAACCAAACGAUUACGGUUGAGUCAAGUGAAGAAACAGGGAGCCGCAAAAUCCUGAAUUCACAGUCUGGUACCCCCAGGACCAGCUGGUACUCAGUCUCAUCAACUCAUCGGUUACCGAGGAAGUUCUCAGCACGGUGGUCGGAAUCACCACUGCACGAGAAGCCUGGGAUAUGCUGGAGCGGCAAUUUGCCUCCACAUCUCGAGCACGAGCAAUGCAGAAUCAUAUGGAACUCUCCACGAUCCAAAAGAAGGACAUGACAAUUGCUGACUAUUUUCGUAAAGUAAAACGUCUCGGAGACACUCUGGCUGCCAUUGGCAAGCGAGUAGAGGAUGAAGAACUCAUCGCCUACAUGCUGCAAGGACUUGGUCUAGAUUAUGAUCCUCUUGUCACAAGCAUUACAACUAGAACAGAUGUUUACACUGUCAGCGAUGUGUAUGCUCAUAUGCUGAGCUACGAGAUGCGUCAUCUGCGUAAUGGUACUCUUGAGCAAUUUCCUUUUGCUAACAAUGUCAACAGCAUGUCUAAUCGAGGAGGAACUAAUGGACGUCGUGGUGGUCGUGGUCGUCAAUCAAAUGGUGGUCGAGGACAAACAUGGCACACUAGAAACAAUUCUGGACGUCAGCCAUCAAAGGCACAAAGUAACUCAGACAAAGUCUGUCAGAUUUGUGGUAAGCCAAACCAUGAUGCUUUGCAAUGUUGGCACAGAUUUGAUCAGGCAUAUUAAGCCGAAGACAAUCUUAAACAAGCAGUUGUGGCCACAAGUGGAUAUACUGGUGAUGCAAACUGGUACGUAGAUACUGGAGCCACAGAUCACAUCACCAACGAGUUAGAAAGACUUACCACCAACGAACAUUACAAUGGCACUGAUCAGAUUCAAGUUGCAAAUGGCUCAGGUUUUUCUAUCUCUCAUAUUGGGAACUCAUUAAUUUCUGGUUCAUCUAGAUCUCUUGUACUGAAACAUAUCCUAUAUGCUCCUAAAAUCAAUAAACAUCUGAUUUCAGUACAAAGACUAGCAUCUGAUAAUAAUGCCUUUGUGGAAUUUCACCCACACUGUUUUUUUGUUAAGGACCGAGCCACGAAGGAACUUCUGCUCACAAGUAGAUGUAAGAAUGGCCUCUACACUUUACCAAAUAACUCCAGCAAAGCAUUCCCGACAGCCAAACUUUCGAAAGAACAAUGGCAUAGAAGACUUGGGCAUCCUGCUUUCCCAGUCACAAUUAGAAUCUUGAAAAAUAAUAACUUAGCUCUAGAUACUAGAGUUUCUUCUUCCUUAAUUUGCCAUGCUUGUCAACUAGAAAAGCACAUCAAUUACCCUUUGUUUCUUCUCAACAUGUAUCUACAGCACCUCUUCAAUUGAUUCAUACUGAUGUAUGGGGUCCAGCCAUUGUCUUAGUGAAUAAUUCUAAAUAUUAUGUUUCAUUUGUUGAUGAUUUUAGCAGAUAUGUUUGGAUUUAUUUUUUGAAAUACAAGUCUGAUGUUGAGUCUGUGUUUCAUCAGUUUCAAAAACAUGUUGAAACCAUGCUAAACACCAAAAUUCGCUCUGUCCAGUCAGAUUGGGGGGGUGAAUACCAUCGUUUGCACCAAUAUUUCAAAACAACUGGAAUUGAGCAUCGUCUUUCUUGUCCUCACACACAUCAGCAAAAUGGGUUGGUAGAAAGAAAGCACAGACACAUUGUGGAAACUGGCCUUACUUUACUUGCCCAAGCUAACAUGCCUUUGUCCUAUUAGGAUGAAGCCUUCAAUACAGCUUGUUACCUUAUAAAUAGACUACCAUCUCGAAUCAUACAAGCAAGACACACCACUUCAUAAAUUAUUUGCAAAAAAUCCAGAUUACACCAUGCUUAAGGUGUUUGGCUGUGCUUGCUGGCCCAAUUUAAGGCCUUACAACACCAAGAAACUGAGUUUUCGAACCACUAAGUGUGUCUUCUUAGGCUAUAGUUCUUCUCAUAAGGGAUACAAGUGCUUAGAUAGAAGUACAAAACGAAUUUACAUCUCUAGAGAUGUAAUCUUUGAUGAAAAUGUGUUUCCUUUUGAAGAAUUAAAUUCUAAGUCAUCAAUCCAAACCAAAAAUUCACACCAGCCUGCUCUACUUCCAACCUUCGUUAAACCCGUUCCAUACACUGAAAAUGCUCUCACAAAUAUUGAACCAGUUGUUAAUGAUUCUCGUAUAAUUGAUGGUCAAUCUAAUGAUGUUGCUAAUAACAACUUGUCUGGUAUAAGCUUACAUCCUGCAGAUAAUACAAUAAGUCCAGAAAUUGUUGCAGAACAGGAAGCUGAGAACAGUCUGACCAAUUUCCAAGAACAGAUGUUCNNNNNNNNNNNNNNNNNNNNNNNNNNNNNNNNNNNNNNNNNNNNNNNNNNNNNNNNNNNNNNNNNNNNNNNNNNNNNNNNNNNNNNNNNNNNNNNNNNNNGAACAAGAUUGAAAAAUAACAUUGUCCAAGCAAAACAGUUCACUGAUGGUACUGUCAGAUAUUCAGAGACCUCAAGAAAGUUUACCGGUGCUGUCACUGUCAAAAAUCCGACCACAAUAAAUGUACUAAAAAAUGCUACUGAGACUGAUACAGUUACUGAACCUCAAAACCUGCAGGAAGCUCUACAAAGUCCAGGUUGGCAGGAAGCAAUGAAUAAUGAGCUCUCAGCAUUACAACACAAUGAGACUUGGGAUUUCGUUCCACCAAAACCUGGCAUAAAUCUCAUUGAUAGUCGAUGGGUGUAUAAAGUGAAAAGGAAAGCGGAUGAAUCAGUGGAGAGAUUGAAAGCAAGGUUGGUUGCUAAAGGGUUCAAGCAAAGAUUUGGCAUUGAUUACAUUGAUACCUUUAGCCCCGUGGUCAAGCCAUCAACAAUCAAAGUUAUUCUUUCACUAGCAGUAACCAAAGGCUGGAAUAUGAGACAAGUUGAUAUCCAAAAUGCAUUCUUGCAUGGAAUUUUGGAAGAGGAAGUGUACAUGCGACAACCAUCGGGAUUUCAAGACCCAUAUAAACCAAAGGAAUACAUAUGCAAACUCAAGAAAGCGCUUUAUGGCCUGAAACAGGCUCCAAAGGCUUGGCACUCAAGACUGACUGGAAAACUUAUGGAAUUAGGCUUUAGAGCUUCUGUAGCUGAUUCAUCUUUGUUUAUCCUCAAAAACAAAGAGGUAACCAUCUAUAUGCUCAUAUACGUUGAUGAUAUAAUUAUCGUGAGCUCCUCUGAUCAAGCCACCGAAAGGUUGAUUCAGAAGUUGAAAAUAGAUUUUGCUAUAAAAGACUUAGGUGGUCUUGAGUAUUUUCUGGGUAUUGAAGUCAAGAAGGCAAGAGAUGGCAUCACANNNNNNNNNNNNNNNNNNNNNNNNNNNNNNNNNNNNNNNNNNNNNNNNNNNNNNNNNNNNNNNNNNNNNNNNNNNNNNNNNNNNNNNNNNNNNNNNNNNNAAAUUAUUCAAAGAGCAGGGAACACUCUUGUCAAUUGAAGAACAAUUUAAAUACAGAAGUACUGUGGGAGCAUUGCAAUACUUGACAAUGACCAGGCCUGAUUUGGCAUUUGCUGUCAACAAGGUUUGCCAAUACCUUCAUACGCCUACUGAUGCUCAUUGGAGUGUUGUAAAGAGAAUCCUUCGUUAUGUCAAGGGCACAUUAGAUUUGGGAAUCAGAAUUCAGAAGUCUCCAACAAUGCUGCUGUCCGGAUUUUCUGAUGCUGAUUGGGCUGGUUGUCCUGAUGAUCGACGUUCAACUAGCGGCUUUGCUGUAUUUCUUGGAGCAAAUCUAAUUUCUUGGAGCUCUAGAAAACAAACCACAGUGUCCAGAUCGAGCACCGAAGCAGAAUACAAGGCCAUUGCGAAUCUGACAGCAGAAAUGAUUUGGAUAAAAUCAUUAUUGAAAGAGCUUGGUGUGUAUCAAUCAAAAGCUCCUCGACUCUGGUGUGACAAUCUAGGAGCUACAUACUUAACUUCAAAUCCAGUGUUUCAUGCAAGAACAAAACAUAUUGAAGUUGACUUCCAUUUUGUUCGAGAACAAGUGGCACGCAAAGCAAUGGAAGUUCAGUUUAUUUCAUCAAGUGAUCAAGUGGCUGAUAUCCUAACAAAACCACUGUCUAGAACUCUCUUUAUUACACAUUGUAACAAUCUCAACAUGUAUAAAACCUGUUGGGAUUGAAGGGGACUGUUAGAAUUAGUCAGUUAGAAGUGGAACACGUUUGUAGAAGUGGAACACGUUAGUUGGUUAGUUGCCUUAAGAAGCGGAUCAUGGAUCCAACCGUGUAUGCAAUCAGUUACCUUUCUUUAAUUAUAAAUACAAUACGUCCUCCACAUAGAGAGGUACAGUUAGCAAACUUUAUUAGAGCUGAAUCGGUAACAUCAUCAAGAAUGAGGAGAACCUUUGUCCGUUUGAGCCUUUCAUUGUAAUAUGGUGAAGAAGAGGAUUUCUCUUCCUUUAGAAGCUCAGACUGAUAUUUUGUUCUGAUACUGUCUAUUCCAUCUCUUUGUAUUUUUUCUUGAACGUCUAAAACAAGGCUGCUGGAAUCAAACUGCAAUGCCAAUUUGUGAUAUAUUUGAUUACAAAUUGUAGUUUUUCCUAUUCCUCCCAUGCCACAAAUUCCUAUGAUCCGAACAUCCGGUGACUCAAGAUGCAACAAGGACUGAAUUCCUUCAAUAUGUUUUUCAAUGCCGAUGAUUCCUUGAUCAUAACUGAUGGAAUAACGAUUCAAUUUUUUCAACAAGUGUGUGUUCUGUGCUGGCAGAUGAUUUAGAAAAUAAUGUAUAAGUAUUCAAGCACAAAAGCUAAACUAAAGAAAAAUUCUACAGCAUCCGUUUGUGACUUCUGAUACUAGGGAGAAGACUUGUAGGUACAAAGUUAAGCUAUAACAUGUAAUAUGGUUCAGAUCUAAGACCGACUAAUAGAAAUGAAAAAAGAAGCACUUGAUUUAGGGUGAGAUGAACACAAUUUUAGUAAAUGAAAAGAGAUCCUGAUUAUCUGGAAAGUGCGUGACCUGGUGACUUUUGAAUCCCAGCCUGCAAGUUCAGCAGCUUCGGUGAGAGCAUCCUUCCAUCCUUGCACUUUAUCGUGCUUAAAGUGCUGCUCAUGCUUUUCGAAUGCUUCUUUGUAUCUUUGUUCCUGCUUCCUAAUAGUUGAUGGAUCCACCUUGUAGAAAACAGGUAUGACAUCCCUUCCAAAUCUCUUCUUGCAUUCAAGUAUCUUAGUGAGUUCAUUCAAGCACCAAGUGGAAGAUGCAUAGUCUUGGGAGAAAACGAUGACAUAAAUCUUUGAAAAAUAAGUAUGAAAUCUAGAUAUAUAUCAUUAUCACGUGUGGAAGCUACGUCGUCUUGUAUUGGAUUUUCUAAUCUGCCUUUUAUCUUGUCUCAUUCUUCUUUAUCUUUUUUCUCUCAUCUCUCUUGCUUACGAUUUCUUUGCCUUUAUUCAGAAAUUUUAGUUAUAAUAAACCUUCAAUAAUAUUUGUACUUUCUAGCAUAUAGAAUACUUAAUGGAUCCUUUUCUGAUUUUUCUUUUCUAAAGUUCAAUUGAUUUUUUAAAUGUUUUUCUAUUUAAUUUUCCUUUCUUAAUGACACAUAAAAUGGUUCAGUGCACAAUUAAUUAUUCUCACCUUAGAUUUCAUUCAUCUCAUUCCAUUUCCACACUCAAAUCAUUCUCACAUUUGUUUCUACCUGUUUCACAAAGUUUUAGUUAAAAUAUGGAAAUUAAUGUUCAAGAACCCUACUUAAUAUUAAUAUUCAACAAUUUAAAAUAUUAAAAUGCAAAUUAAUCUUUCUUAAUAAUGUCAUUUUUAUGUAAAAAAUAAAAUGUAGUUUAGUCAUUUAUACUUAGAUGGAUAAAGAUGAUUUUAGAAAAAAAAAAUGCAUUUUAUUUCAAAGGUUAACUAAACUCUGAACUCAUUUAUGAAUUAAUAAUAAUAAAUAAUAUGUAAUUGUAUUCCAAUACCAUAUAAAUUUUUUUUAUUGGGUGCGUUUCUGAUGAAUUAAUGCACUCUAGGGACAAUGAUCGCUCUAGUAUUUGAUUUUUUAUUUAUUUUAAUGUUAAAAUUAUAGCUAUGUAGUACAGAUAUUACUGACACAGACAGACACGAACACGGACACAGAAAUACAUAAAAUCUCUAAAAUGUAGAAUACGGAGACAUUAAUCUAUAUAUUAUAUAAUUAUGAAUCAUAUAAAUUAACAAUAAAGAUUUAUGUGCACAAGUAUUUUUGAGAUUAUUUUUUAGAACAGAAAUAUGUUUUUCAUGACUAGUUCACAAAUAUUUGUUUCUUAUUCUUAUAAUCAUAAUAACAAUUUAUACCAUAAAGUUUCAAUUUUAGAAAAUUAAUGUAUUUUUUCUUUUUAAAAUUUCGUUAGAACUGUACUAGAAUUGUAAAAAAUCUAACAAAUACAUUUUGAAUUGGACAUUCCACGAAUACGUGUCCUACCAGUAUUUUGAACAACAUUCUUUCUUUUGGAACAAAGAGGGCAUAUGCCGCAGUCUUUUACUGUGAUAACUCAUUUCAACUCUCACACAACUGAUUCGUAAUCUGUGGGAUGCAUUAAAGCCUUUUGCAGUUAAAUCAAUAGUAUAUGAUGAUGUGAAUGUUAUUUAUAUACUAAAUAUAAUCACAUAGUAACUUCAAAUUUGAUAAGGUACAACAUGUUACCAUAUCUCUUUUAAUUUAUUUUAUUUCAUUAUAUAUUUAGGUGUAUUUAAUUUCUUUUAUUUCAUUGUGUAUUUAGGUGUAUUACGUAAAAUAUAUAAUUAAAAAGAAAGAAGAAUAAUGUUAUUUUGAAAUUUAAAGAAGACAUAUAGAAAUAAACAAGCUUUUGCUAAGAUUCCACCAUUGAAAAGGAACAUAGAACAAUCUUGACAAUUAUACUUUGACUUAUUUUAAUUUCUUAUAUUUAUGAGUAUUAUUUUUUCUUAAACAUAGAUAUUGGAUAAAAAAUACAAAUAACAUUUCUUUAUUUCAAAUUUAAAAAUAUUUUAAAUUAAAAUAAAAUAAUUUUUUAAUUAAGAUAUAACAAAAUAUUCUUUAACAAAUUAUUUUAAUUUCAAAAUAAUUAAUUCAGAGGACGAUUGAAAAAAUAUUAAAUAUUAUAAUAAAGCUUCAAUAAUAUUUGUACUUUCUAGCAUAUAGAAUACUUAAUGGAUCCUUUUAUGAAUUUUCUUUUCUAAAGUACAAUUGAUUUUUUAAAUGUUUUUCUAUUUAAUUUUUCUUUCUUGACACAAAAUGUUCAGUGCACAAUUAAUUACUCACCUUAGAUUUCGUUCUUCUCUUUCCAUUUCCACACUCAAAUCAUUUUCACCUUUUUUUUCUUCUUAUUUCACAAAACUUUAAUUAAAAUAUGGAAAAUAAAGUUCAAGAACCCUGCUUAUAUAUUAAUAUUCAAAAAUUUAAAAUAUUAAUAUGCAAAUGAAUAUUUCUUAAUAAUUUUAUUUUGAUGUAAAAAAUAAAAUGUAGUUUAGUCAUUCAUACUUAGAUGGAUAAAGAUGGUUUUAGAAAAAAAAAAAGAAUAUGCAUUUUAUUUGAAAGGUUAUCUAAACUCUGAACUCACUGAUGAAUUAAUAAUAAUAAAUAAUAUGGAAUUCUAUUCCAAUACCAUAUAGGAUGGAGAAAAGUAAGAAGAGGAUUUACACAUUACCCUUUCAAAUGGAGCUCCUCAGGAUUUCAUAAUGCCUUCACUGCAAAUGCAACCCAAAUAUGCUAAAAAAGUUAAUGAAACUAUAUAUGAAGAGUUAAUGAAACUAAAUGGCGUGUGCUGAAAUUUUUGAUCCGAUAACCAUGCCCACAUUCAAAAAGUGAAAGGUUACUUUGCUUUAUAUUCCUUUGGGUGGUGCUACUUUUCAACUUGACAACAAAUUCCCAUUAUUGUGUGGUUAUCAAUUACCAUUUAACUUAUUCUCAUACCACAUUCACUAUAUAAUAGUCCAUCAUAAACCCCAAAAUUUGCACAUUUUCUAUUUGCAAGACAUCCAACAGACAAAGAAAACAUGUGAAACUGUGUAAUAAUGUGAGAACGUAAGAACUUACUUCAUCAUGAAAUCAAGCCAUGCCUGAGGGUUUUUUCUGAGAGCAUUCACCACAGGUGCAUAUUCAUGUGGCUGUAUCCCAUACUCAGCUAGUAUUUCUGCUACCUCUGCCGCUUCUUUUUUUGUCAAAAAACACAUAUUCAUUAUUAAUGUGCAAUCAAAUGGUAACGAAACUAUGUAGUACAAACACACACUGAUACGACACUAGGACGAACAUACGUAUAAUGUUACUCCUUCUAUGGAAAUGAAGGAUAUUCAGCAAUAACUUUUAAAACUCAUUACAUAGAAAUUUGCAUCAAGUUAUCAAAGUCUAUAGGAAUGAAUUUUCAAUUCAUGGAAACACAGAUAACAAAAAGUAAUAGAAAAAUAGAAAAAAAGUUGUCAAAUGAUUCUAUAAAAAAUUAACCUAUCAUGAAAAUCAAGAUGAUAGAAAAUAAAAUAAUGUGGCAUGAACAUCAAAAUCGUAUAAAAGCAUAAUAGAAGAACAGUGGAUACCAGUUUCUGGCACGGCGAUGAUUUCUUCUUGCUCUCUUUUCAAUUCCCUCGAGUAAUUAUCGGCUUCACUUUUUGCUGCCAAAUAACUGCACAAUGAAAAUUAACAUGAAAUAAUAACGGAAUUUAAAUUGAGUUUUGUGAGUGUGAAGAGUGUGGUUGAACGUACCCGCCGAGGCCCAUGGAGAUGGCGCCGGCGGCGACUUCCGCUAUGCCAGCGGUGAGAACGAUGGAGGAGGUGACAUUGGCGCCGGAGAGGCCGGCGGCGAGGGCGAAGGGGACGGUGAGGCCGUCGGAAACGCCGAUGAUGAUGUCGCGGACUAUUUCGCCGGCGGUGAAGUGCUUCUCGGUGUGGUGGUUGAGAAGGUUCGUUCUCUCAGAAUCCACGCUUAUGCCGUGUUCGGUGGCGGCCAUUGGUGCAAGCUUGUGAAUGUGUUUGAGUUCGCCAACGUGCUCUGGGAAUCCAAACAAAGCCUUGCUGCUUUGCACAUAAAUUGAGCCUCUUUUGUGCUCAACUUACUCCUAAAUAGAACAAAAAUAUCUAACCGUUGAUGAUAUCCACGUGGAAAAUUAUCAAUGGAUAUCAAUAUCACAUUAUUUCUACACUAAUAUUUUAAUUAUUUUUAAAUAUUAUAACUAAAUCAAUCAAUAUAAUACCAAAUCUUCUUAAUUCUUUGGAUUAUAUAUAUUUUAUUUUAUUUUAUUUAUAAAGGAAGUUGUGAUAAAUGUUGUGUUUUGUGUGCACAUUAAUAAAAAUCAAAUAACCAAAAAAUAAUAAUCUUGUGAAAGAAAAAAUGGUAGAAUUUAUACUAUUCUACAAAAUUUUAAAAGUGGCUAAUGUGUUUUACUCAACUAUGUAAAUAAUUUUGGACUCUCUUGUUAAGGAAAUAAUGAAAUACAUUAAAUUUUGUUUUAUACUCUUACUUUAAGUUUUUUUGUGUUUCUCCUGACUUAAUUAAAUAUCAGAGAGUCGUCUUUUGCAGGUAGAUUUCAUUCUAUCAUAAUAUACCAACUGAAAACUUGUUUUCUGAAAAACACACGGCUCUCACCGAAUUGCACUUUCCAAUUUUUUUUAAUAGAAAUAAUAAUAAUUAAGUAUUUGUGUUCUUAUAUUUAAUUUUUAAUAAAAAAAUUAUUCUUAUGUACUUCUAAAUUGAUAUAUUUUACCAAUGUCUAUUAACAAUGGGAAGAAGUUUAUACCUAACAAAACUAUUUAACAUGAUUUGUUUGUAAAUUAUAGAAGUAUGUGUAGAAAGAUAUAAAAUUAAUGUUUUAAGAGAAAUUUAAGCAACUUUCAUAAUAUAUUGUAGAUUAUUAGUUGAAUUUAUGGAAAUUAAAAAUAAAUUGUAGGUCACCACACUUCCACUUUUUUUUAAUGAUAUCAAAUCACAACUUUACAAUUUUCACUAAUUUUUAACCAAUAACAAAAGAACAUCUUAGAAGAAGUGUGUUUAAGAAUUUGAUGUUAACUCUCAUUGUUUUUUAAACUUAAAUCCAGCUUUAUUCUUCAACUUUUAAUUUUUAUACAUAUUUAAUUGUAUAUAUAGUUUUUAACUCUCUAAAAUCAAACAAUUUUAAUUCAUUAAAUAGGCAAUGUCAUGAGUGUUAAACUUUUAACAUUUUUCUAGUAAUUAAAUUACUUAUGAAGAUUCAACUAAUUCAAAAUUUAAUAUUUUUACAAUUUUUAUUAUAAUAUUCUUAAAAUAUAUUUUAAUAUUUUGUUUUUCAUGUUUGAAAUAUAAAUGUUUUAAAAAAUCAUUUUAAAUUAUUUUGUUUCUCAUCUUAUGUAAUAAAUUACUAUAAUAAUUACUAAAACAUUUAAUACCUAUACAUUUUUAAUGAGCAAAAACUAAUAAUGAAUUAUAACAAAUAAAAAACGUUUCUGGGCAACAAAAUAGUAAUUAAUAUGAAUUAUAACAAAUAAUGAACGUUUUGUGGUAAUUUGUUUCACUUUCAAAUAAGUUAGUACUUCGCCUGUUAUUUCAUAACGGUAGUUUUUUUAAAUAUAUUAAGAAAAAUGUUUAUUUUUUUAUUUUUAAUGCACUUUUAAGUAACUUGCCUAUUAUAUUAUAUUAUAUGGGUAUUAUAUAUAUAUAGGUAAGCACCAAAAAAUAAAUUUAAGGUAAAAGUGAUAUAAUUAAAAUAAAAUAAAUUAUUAUUAAAUAGAAAAUAUAUAUAAUUAAAAAAAUCAGUUAUUUAAGUUUUAUUUUAAAAUAAUUUUUGUAAAAAAAUUUUCUUUUUUUCCUUGUUCACGAUUUUAAAUUUUAUAUUCACUUGGUAGACAUGUUUUGCAUGUGGUGUUUGGGACUUAAAAGAAUAAUAUAUGUUAGUUCAAGAUCCUAAUGAUGUGUUUUUAAGAAGUUGGACUAUCUUUGUUUUUUUAAGAAGUUGAAGUCUUUUUAUGAAUACUUAUCUUUUUAAACAGGUAAGAUAAACUAGUUUUAUCUGUAAAACUUAAGUUAGAAUAUCUGAAUAUGAAAUGUGAUUCUUCAUAUGAUUAUGAUUGAAUGAUUCAAAAUUCAAGUAUAAAGUUUUAAGAAUCAUUAACUUAUGUUUUUUUUUUUGUGCUAUUUUUUUGAUUUUUUGCAAUGAUUGUGUGUUGCAUGUGAGCAAAUGAUGUUACAAGUUGUAAACCUAAAAAAAAAUCAUGAAAUUUUGUCUUUUUUAUUCUUUUGAUAUUUUAUCUUAAUGAUAUAUAUAUAUAUAUAUAUAUAUAUAUAUAUAUUUAAAAAUCUCUAUAUGAAAGGAUAGUAUUUUAUGAUAUAAUAAUAUGAUAAUGUAAAUGUUAUUUAUAUAAUAAAUAUCAUGAGAUAAUUUAAAUUUUGAUAAGAUAAAUGAAGAUGUUACAAUAUCUCUUUUAAUUUUUUUUUAUUUCAUUAUAUAUUUAGGCGUAUUUAAUUUCUUUUAUUUCAUUGUAUAUUUAGGUGUAUUACGUAAAAUAUAUAAUUAAAAAGAAAAAAUAAUGUUAUUUUGAAAUUUAAAGAAUGACGUAUAGAAAGAAACAAGCUUUUGUUAAAAUUCCACCAUUGAAAAGGAACAUAGAACAACACUCUUGACAAUUAUACUUUGACUUAGAUACUUAUUUUAAUUUAUUAUAUUCAUGAGUAUUAUUUUUUCUUAAACAUAGAUAUUGGAUAAAAAUUAAUAAAAUUUAUUUAUUUCAAAUUUAAAAAUAUUUAAAAUUAAAAUAAAAUAAUAUUUUUAAUUAAGAUAUAAAAAAAUAUUCUUUACAAAUUUUUUUAAUUUCAAAAUAAUUAAUUCAGAGGAUGAUUGAAAAAAUAUUAACAAUCUAUUUAUGCGUUUAUAGUAAACCUUCAAUAAUAUUUGUACUUUCUAGCAUAUAGAAUACUUACUGGAUUUCUUACUCUUUCUUUCUACACCUCUAUCCAUACUAAAUAUAAAAAUACCAUUUUAUUCUUUUUUCUCCACCCCUUGAAUUUGAAAUAAUAAGCCCAUGGAUUAUGUAAUCUGGAUAUAUUCCGGAUUAGUCAAUUUCAUAUUUAGAAAAGACUUUCGGAUUAUGUAAUCCAGAAGCUAAUAAAACAUCUGAAAAAAAGGCUUCCGGAUUACAUAAUCCGGAAGCUAAUCUUAUGUAUAGAAAAGACUUUCGCAUUAUGUAUUCCGGAAGCUAAUCACAAAAGACUUCUGGAUUACAUAAUCCAAACGCUAAUUCUAAAUCUAGAAAAAAGACUUCCGGAUUAUGUAAUCCGGAAUAUUAAAAAAGAUAUUUUUGAAAUACGAAAAAUUUAUGGGGGUGACACAAGAAGGUAUGGAGGUGCAGGAAGAAACAGCCUGGAUUCCUUUUGUGAUUUUUCUUUUCUAAAGUACAAUUGAUAUUUUAAAUGUUUUUCUAUUUAAUUUGUCUUUCUUAAAUGACACAUAAAAUGUUCAGUGCACAAUUAACUACUCACCUUAGAUUUCGUUCUUCUUUUUCCACUUCCACACUAAAAUCAUUUUCACAUUUUUUUUACCUAUUUCACAAAAAUUUAAUUCAAAAAUGGAAAUUAAAGUUCAAGAACCCUACUUAUAUAUUAACAUUCAACAAUUUAAAAUAUUAAUAUUCAAAUUAAUCUUUCUUAAUGUUAUGAAAAAUUUAAAAUGUAGUUUAGUCAUUCUUGGAUGGAAAAAGAUGGUUUUAGAAGAAAAAAAUGCAUUUUAUUUGAAAGGUUAUCUAAACUCUAAACUCAUUGAUGAAUUAAUAAUAAUAAAUAAUAUGGAAUUCUAUUGGAAUAGCAUAUAAAUGUUUUGUUGUUGAAACUGAUAAUUGGGUGCGUUUCUGAUGAAAUUAAUUAAUGCAGUCUAGGGACAAUUAUCGCUCUAGUAUUUCAUUUUUUUAUUUUUAACGUUGAAAUUAUAAUUAUACAAUUCCGUUUUUAGAUAUUAAAAUGAUAGUUUUCAUUUACAGAUUAAAAUAUUACUUGUUUCUUUUAAGAUUUUUUUGGUAUUAUAAUUAUUUGUUAGCUGAAUUGUUUUGCGUUAACAUGUUGUUUUCUUGGGCUAUGAUGUAAGCAAUAUAAAUGUUAUUUUUAAUGUAAGCAAUAAAAAUUAUGAGUAUUCAAAGUCGUGUAAUUACUUAAAAGAAUCAAGUGAUUUUUAAAAGAACUCACACGAUCAGUUUUAAUUUUGACGAUAAAAUAUAUUAGUUAUAUAUAUUUAUUCAAAAUUUCAAUUAUACUAUGCAUUUAUGGUUUUAUGCUUUUAGAGGAAUCAGUAACUUAGAAAAGCUCCCAAAAACUAAUGAAAUCCCAUGAAUGAAGAAGGAGAACAAAUGGAAGUGAAAAAUCAGUAAGAUGAUAAUUAAUAAACACCCUCUCUUAAUAACAUAACAUAGGAGUCUUUAAACUUAUAUUCUUCAAACAAUUAUAAGCUGUCUUCAACUUUACUGUUAAACUACAAUUAUAAAGAAUUAACAAUCUCACACACCAACAACAUUUAUAAGUCAUCACUCACAUGCAACAAGGUGUGCCUCAAUGUGAAAAAACCAAGAUCAAUAAGAAAUGAGGUUCCACUUAACCAAGCUGAGAAUUGUCUGGUUUUCCAGCUCCAUGCACAAACCUAAUACAAUGAUAUGAUAUUCAAUACCAAGAGGUACCUUGUCGUAAAACUGAGAAUAUGAGGUUGCAUAGGAUGGAGAAAAGUAAGAAGAGGAUUUACCAAUUACCCUUUCAAAUGCAGCUCCUCAAGAUUUCAUAAUCCCUUCACUGCAAAUGCAACCCAAAUAUGUUAAAGAAGUUAAUGAAACCGAAAUAUGAAGAGUUUCAAAAUAAAAAUUUAACAUGUUGAAACUUGUAAUUUAGAAGUAUUGACUAUAAGGCAGUUUAGAUCCUGACCAAUGAAAGACUAAUAAGCAGAAGAGGAAGAGACUAGUUGACUGGCUAGCUUUCGGCCUUCCACUUCCUAUCUUCCCUUGUUUCUCUUGAAGACUGUGCAACAUUGCUUCCACUGGAUUCUUCAAUCUCAACAGCACCACCAUAUUCAUCAUCUUUCUUUUUCGUAUAAAGAGGGCAUAUGCCGCAUUCUUUUAUUGUGAUAACUGAUUUCAACUCUCUCACAACUGAUUCGUAAUCUGGCCACCCAAAGUCAUAAUCACACGGACUGAUCUCAAAAGUGAAGCUGCGAGCAUCACAUAGCCUGAGGCUCAUGCCGCUCGCCCUUAGGGACUCCAAGUUAAAUUUCCACACGAAUGUGUGAUCUUUAUCAACACAUCUCUCUUCACCAUUCCAUUUGAAAUAGCUGUUUAACACAUCAUUAUUUGGAAUGAUCUGUGUGCCAUCAUCAUCAGAUUCAAAUGUUAGGCUGUAACUAAAAGAACCAUAUCUACCAUUCAUAGCAUACGUAUCUAACACUCCAAAAACCACACUCAAAGCGAAACCAGUGAGCCUAUCAUCGCUGCAGAAACUUAAAUCUUCAUUUAUAGUCACUGAAUGUCCCUUCCCACGAAAAUUGAACCAACCAGGAACUGCACUCCCUGGAAAACAGAAGAACACACACCUAUAUGCAUCGUCGGUCAUCCUAAGCCUUGCAUCCUCCUCAAUGUUAGCACGACCACCUGAAUCCAGUUGUUGAGCAUUGGUGAAAUGAAAUUUAAAUACACCCUCUUCGGAAUUUGAGAGGUUUCGAACAAGAGAAUUUGGCAUCACUCUUCUAAUGGAUGGGCAAUCCAAUGCCACGAGUUGUUUCAGAAAUGGUGGAAUCUGUGGGAUGCAUUCAAGCUUUUUGCAGUCGCUUAAAUCAAGCGAUUUCAAACUUGAAAGAUGAGCAAUGCUCCCAGGAAGGUUCACGAUUCCGCUAUUACGCAGUGAAAGUUUCAUUAAUGACGUCAAACGACCAAUGUGUCUAGGGAUUUCUGUUAAUUUGGGGCACCCCGAACAAUCAAGUUUAGAGAGAAGCUUCAGAUUAACAAUGCAGUUUGGAAGUGAGUCGAGAUCAGUGCAUUUGUGGAGCUCCAGGGAUCGAAGAUUAACCAAAUUGCCAAAUGAGGAAGGCAAUUCUUUAACAGCCGUAGAUGUUAAGUUAAUGUGAGCAAAAGUAUGAGCCGGCUCCGUGAUCUCUGGGAAGGACCUCAGCCUUGAGCAACCACCUAAAUCAAACUUCCUCAAUUUCAAAUUGAAAAUGGUGCUUGGAAAAGUUUGAAGUGAAUUACAGUGGGUAAGGUCUAACUUGCAUAGUCUGGUGAGGGUUCCAAUGGAAGAUGGAAUAAUCUGAAGAUUGAAGCAACUGCGCAAACUCAGUUGUUGAAGCCCUACCAAACGGCACAAGGAUGAAGGUAGUGCCUGUAUGGCUGUGUCGUCUAAGAUGAGCACCGCUAGAUCUUCCAACGUGUCCUGAAUCUGGGGUAAAUAUUCCAAUUUUGAGCAACCACGGAGAGAAAGUUGCUUUAGGAAUUUCAUAUCAGAAAGGUCAAACGGAAAGAUUGUAAGGGAAGAACAGUCAGAGAGAUCUAAGUAACAGAGGUUCUUGAGACUUUGAAAGUUCAAGGGCACACCUCCUCUGAGAUUUGCCGACACUUCAAAUUGUAAGUAUAGAGUAUUAUUAGCCACUUCUUCAU